rnacentral:lncRNA from 1 species
UUCCAGCAGAAUCAAGAUGAAGGUAUUGCAAGUUGGUGAGGUUUCCAAACUGUGAAGGAAUGGUUCCAUAAAGAGAGUUACUGGAAAGGGAAAGGUACCUUAAUCGAGUCAAAGAACCAAUGAAAGUGGGAAUGGUUCCAUGAAAUGAAUUGUCAGAAAGAUCAAGAAGAUUCAAGUAGGUUAAGGAAUGGCUAAUCUCACCUCCAAGACCAUCCUGUGAAAAGAAGUUGUUGAGUUCAAGCUUUGUGACAUGACCAGUUUGGUUGCUGCACUCAACUCCACUCCAUUUACAGCAGUCAUGUUGGUCAGAUCUCCAUGUAGAGAGAGUAUCAUAAGUGUCGUGAAGGGGAGCUUUGAAGAGAAGGAGCGCAAGUCUCUCAUUAUCCAAACACUUUUUCAUAUUAACACGAUUUCUAUCAUCUCCUCCUUCUCCCACUGCUACCAAUUGGCUGGUAGUUGCAGUCACAAGGAGUACCAAGAAAAGUGAGAAAAUUAUAGAAGCACAAGGAUUCAUAAUUUAAUUAAAAAUGAAAAUCUUGGUGAUUUUUGGUUUGUAAUGAUGCCUGCCUAUAUGAACUGCACCCGUGAGUGUUUAUAUAUAUAGUCUCGACUGUGAGCAUAAGUGAUUCUAAACGGGUGGCCUUGAAUUAAUUGUGCCGGGGAUACAAUAUUUAAUUCCCAUGAAAUUAGAACCAAACUAUAAGAAAAAAUCAAAGAUGAAGAUUUGAAAUAAAUGUCUCAAAUUAGUCGUUCAAAGACUUGCAAGUCUUGACAAUUUGCAUAUAUUAUCUAUAUCUUAUCCGAUUUCAUGAUAUAUUCAAAGACUUUAAAGUGAUGUUGACCAUCACCUUUAUUAAAUACAAACAUAUAAGAAUGUAAACGCAAACAUUAAACUGACCACCAAUUUAACAACAACUAUUUAAUAAAUCUCGUAUUCCCAUUCCUUUGUUAAACAAUUUAUGUUUAUGCUAUCCUAAGAGUAUUUUUAUUAAAUCAAUUAGAAAAGUUUUAGCGGAAACAUAUAUCUAAUUUAUCAUAUCAAUUAAUUCAAAAUUUUCGAACAGAAACAUAAACCCAGUAUUCAACAGAAACGAAAAAAAAUUCAAACAAAAUCAAAAGAAACGUUAUUCAACAGAAAAAAUAGAGAACAGGGAUGAAGAGGAGAAAUGCGUUGAGUAUUAGUGACGGAAAACCAAGAAGAUGACAACGGUAGCUAGGCGGCGUCUUCGACGGCAGUGGGGAGGUAAAAAAGCAAAAAAAUUAUGGAUAUUUUUUAGCAAUAUAUUAUAUUAUAUGGACUUGUUCGCGAAAACAUUAUUAUAUUUAUUUAUUGGUUAUGUAUAUAUCAACCUGAAAGAUAUUUUUAUAUUUUUAUCAUACAAUAACCAUUUAUGUUGCUAAAAAAUAUCCAUAAAUUUAUGUGAUUAUUUUUUUCCCACAUUAAUAAAAAAUAACCUCAUAAUUUAAGUUAUUAUUCCCUAAUUUCAGUACUUGACAUCAGAUCAGUGAUAAUUAAUGUUUUGCAAAAACGACAGUUUUGAACCCUAAUCCAAGUUUGAACCUUGAGUUUAUUAUGCUUGGAAAAUAUAAAAUCUAUUCAUAAUUACAAAAGAGUUUCUAAAAAUAAAAUAUUUAUAAAUUUCCAUUUGUAAUCACUAACCUCUCUAGUCUCUAAAGACUUUGAGUGUGUUCUUGGUGAACGUGUAUGUGAGGUGACUUUAAGCAAGACUUGAAGAUAAAACAAAGAGUUUGUUUGUACUCUCCAACAUAAGAAAACAAGGUAUUAGAUCAAAGUUGAAUAUUAUGAGCAAACUCAAGAACCUUAAGUUUAAGGUUUGGACAAAUGAUGACAAUGUUCUUAAAUAAUCAUUCUUUGAUCAUGCAUCAGCCUAUCAUUAAGUGGGAUUGGUGGUUAAUUAAAGAACUAUCAUAGAUUUAAAAAAGAUACAAGUAUUUGAUGCAUAACAUGAAAUGUAUAAGUUGUAUAGUUUGGUAAUAUAGAAUUUCAAAUCAUGUUUAUGAGUAAUUAACAUGUCAUUAGUAGAGACUGGGAAACUAAUCAUGUAUUAGUAUGAGUUUGAAGUUGGUUUUAGUAGUGAUGUAUAGCGUAUAUUGUUACCCUGCAUGAAAAGCAUGAUCGGGGAUUAUGAAGCAAAGGUUUCGUGCAUGAUCGGGGAUCACGAAGCAAAGGUUUCGUACUCCUGUAACACCUAGCUUUCUUUAUAAAAUACAGAACAAAUUACUAAAAUCGUCCUUUUUGUUUGAUUAAAAUUUCAUUUUUGGUUUUUAACUUUUUUUUUUUUUUUUUUUUGCAUUGGGACUGUUCUCAAAAUAUAAUUUUAUUGCGUUUUUCGUCGCUAUCCGGCCUGAAAAGACUAUACUUCCCUCUCUAAUUUAUUUUUUACUUGUUUCUAUUAUUAGUUUUAUAUUUUUUUUAAUAAAAAAAUAGAAUGGGCCCACACUCAACUCUUUGUCUUCUCACAUGUUCAACCAUCUUUCACUUUACUACCAUUCACUACCAAUACUAUGCCAUUACUCACCCACUAAGACUCAUUAUCACCAUCUCCAAUGAGACUAGAAGUCCGACAAGACCAGAACGUCGACGAACAUCACACGUCAUCACCCACCACAUGUCACCCACCUCCACCAUCUCUCCCCGUAAAUCGGUAAACCCUCAUCAAUAAAUCGGUAAACCACUCACCUCCACCAUUUAACCCCCUAAAUUCUUCGGCGAGUCCAUAACGACGACGAACACCACACUCACCCUUACUGUGCUUUUUCCAUAUCUUUCCUCCAUUGGACUACCAAUAAAGAUCUUAAAUAAAAAAUUAGAGAUCUACAACACAAGAUCUUGAACUCAAAUCAAAAUUGGAGAUAUGCAAUAUAAGGUCUGGAACUCAAAUCAAAGAUCUUCAUUGUACUUGUAUCAUAAAUCUCCCAACACCAUCAUCUUCUUAUUAAAAUUGGAGCCACCACCACCACCGUGUUACUGAAAUGGGUGAUUUUCUGAAAUAGGAGGCACCACCACCAUCGCCUUACGUAAACCAAGCCAGAACCAUCAACGCUUCUGAAAAUCGUCUUUCAUUUAUAGGAUAUCAUCAAAUUUUUUCUUUCAUCAUUGACUUGAGGUUGGGGUUUACGUUUUGGGUUUUGAUUUCUAUAUUUGGUUUUGAUUUCAUUUUAUGUUCUGAUUUAACAAUUUCGGGAGUUGACUUUGGUUAGAUUUUGAUUUCGGGAUUAGACGUUGGUCUGGUUUUGAUUCCUUAGAUUUGAUAUUGGGUUGUCAAAUGAUGAAACUGAUGAUGUGGGCGAUGGUGGUGUCGGAAUAGGUGUAUGGUGGUCGUGUCAGAAUCGUUGAGUGGUAGUUGUCAGCAACUGUGGUGGUUGUCGAUGAACGGUGAAUGAAGGUGGUUGUGGUGUAAGUAGGAGUAUGAGUGGGUCCCAAUAAAUCACUUAAUUGAUUUUCAUAAAUCAAUUAAUAAUAAACAAAUAAUAAAAAAAAAAUAGAAAAUAUAAAGGGCGAUAUAGUUUUUUUUAUCUCUACAAGGGACAAAAAACGCAAUAAAAUCAUAACUUAGGAAUGGUCUGAGUGCAAAAAAAAUAAUACUUAGGGACCAAACCAAUAGUUUUUACCAAACCAUAUGGACUAUUUUAGUAAUUUGUUCUAAAAUAAAAUAUUAUAGUUUUAAAACACUUUCUGGCAUUAAACCAUAUUUAUUAAAAUAUGGUCCCGAAAGUUUUCAUUACAAAACAAAUUCCAAUACUUUAAACCGGGUAUUACAACUGAUACAACCAAAGCCAUAGUAAAGAAAUAAUUAGACAUACUCAUAGAAACUAUGUCCAAUUUCUAUCCUUUAAAGCUCAUUUUAUCGGUGCAAAAAAACUCUUUUACAUUUCAUAUCGGACUUGGAAUACAUGGCAUUUAAACAAAACAUAUGUAAGACAAUAAUGUCUCGUAAGGCAUAUGGGGUUAGACCCAAAAUAUUUACAAUAUAGGUAAAAAUUACCACUUUCAAAACUAGAGAACUCUUUCAUAUCUUGAAAACACUUUGAUAACUUGUAAACUUUUUUAUAGCCUGAAAAUACUUUUAUAACUUCUAAACUCUUUUAGAGCUUGAAAAUACUUUUAUAACUUGUAAACUCUUUUAUAUCUUGAAAAUACUUUCAUAAAUUGUAAAAUCUUUUAUAGCUUGAAAAACAUUGAGACUAUACAAUGCAUGUCCUCACUCAAUGCAAACUUGUGGGACUUCACAAAUCUUUUAUCUUUUUUUAACUCAUGGAUAUGUGUUGAAUAUGGUGUCGAAAAGGACAAAAGUUGUGAGAAUAUGUCGAAUAUGGCUUAUCAUGAUAGAUGAAGAAAUCAAUCUACCAUGAUAUAUGAUUUGAAGUACGAGAGGUAUUAUCCGAGUAGUAUCUUGCUAAUCCCUUCUGUUGUGGCUCGCGUGGUAUUCAUUUUACUCAUUUACUAUGCAAUUUACUAUUAUGAUGUGUGAUCACACUUUUCUUGCCAAGACUUGAUCACACAUGAUGCUACGCUUUAAACUUAAUCAUAACAAUUUGGAUAGUAAUAACAUUUUCAUAUAAAACAUAUACUGGUUGGGGGCAAGCUAAGACGUCGCCUAGGGCCCAACUUCCAAUCUGUUAGUAUUUGUAUAUAAAUUACAUUGUCAAAAACAUUAAACAAACAAGUUACAGGCUAGUUGGUAAGGCGCUUCACAUCUUUAUAAUCAACCUUGGUUCAAUUUUAGCCUGGAACAUAAUUGAUUACUUUUUGCUAAAUUUAAUGUUUCUAAUAUUACAAUGAAUUUUAAAAUGAUAAUACAUAGAGCUUGUCCGACAAUACUAGCAGGUAGCGGGUAGCAUUUGCUUUUGGAGUGUUUUGAUGAAAGCUACUCCAUGUAGCUUUUGAUUUUGGAGUGUUUUGUUUAGGAUAAAAGUUAAACGCUCCUGUUGCCAAACAAGGCUUUUUUUUACUAACGUUUUCCUAAAAGCUAGAAACCAAAAGCUCCCAAACGGUGCAUGUCGAACACGCCCAUAAUUUGUAGCCACCUUGGUAAGAACCUAUGAAAUAUGCACACAAAUCCAUGUUCANNNNNNNNNNNNNNNNNNNNCUAACUUAAUUUAUAAUUAUACAAACAUAUUUAAAAGAAUAAUAAACAUUGUGUACAAGUUACAUUUUGUUGGAACUGAUUUAUACAUAAACCUAUUUUUAUAAAGAAAAGAAUAACUCGGAAAACAAAUUACAAUAUUUGAGUUUAAUUUAUUAAUUUGUUUAUUAAUAAAAUUGUUUUCUAUAAUAAAAAUAAUGUGUAGUUCAGUUAGUCAAAAAAGUUAAAUACCUUGCGCAUUAACAACAAUAUUAUACUUAACUUAGCUCAAAUUUAAAAGUGAGUUUUUGAUAUAUUCAGGGGCACUUUAUUUAGUUUUUCUCCCAGGCCCCAAAUAUGUAUGGACCGACUUUGGUCAAAACAUAAAUCAUAAAGCUUGUAAAAUACUUUUUCCUUACAAUACAUUUUGAUAUGUGCAUAUUUAAUCAUGUAUAUCGUGCAUAUUUAUAAUACUUUUAGCUACAAUUAUGCUUAUUUUGGGACAUAAGGUACUUAUUAUGUUUAAAAUAUGUUUUUUAGUAGCAAAAACAUGCUCGGGAUGAAAAGGAAAAAAAACGAGGAGCUGGAAGCAGGAAAAUUUGGGCUAAGUUAAAAAGAAGACAAAGAAUGCAUAAAGUCUGAAGCCUACAGCGUGGUCACUAUAUUCCAUGCCACGGUAAACGGAAGAAUCACGAUCAAUCAUCUGACUUGGAGAAUACGAGAUUUAAGAGAAGACCACAAUGUGGUGCCUAUUCACUAUGCUGGUGAUCAAGUUUAUGGAAACUAUAUAUAUCCGAACAUUAUAUCGAAUGUAGAAACUUCUGGCUGAUUUUCUGAGAGGGAUUGUGACUAAAACCCUCUAGAAAACCUUGGGAAAAUCAGGACUCAAUUGGAGCUCAAGAGUUGAAGAGAUCUAGACGAAAUCAACAUAGAUCUAUUAAGUUUGCUAGCAUUACUCAUGUCUAGUCUUAAUUACAUUGAUUUAGUGUGCUUUUCUGUUGUGAUGAAAGGCUAAAAAUUUUAUACUUCGGUUUGGUGAAGAUGAACCCAAAUCUUAUGUGUUGAUUUCAAUUUAUUGAUGUUUUACAUUGAUUUUACUUGUGUUUGAUAAUAAAAAUCCUAACAUGUUUUAGUUCUAGUAUGUGAAUGCCUUGCUAUGAGUUUAGUGUAGAUGAACCCAAAUCUUAUGUGUUGAUUUCAAUUUAUGGAUGUUUUACAUUGAUUUUACUUGUGUUUGAUAAUAAAAACCCUAACAUGCUUUAGUUCUAGUAUAUGAAUGCCUUGCUAUGAGUUUAGUGUAGUAGAUGAUCAUUCUAUUUGCAUGAACUUGUUUACCUAGUGAUUUAUGAUCAUUAAAUUGCUAUAGCUAGGAUUAAUCACAUCUUAGAUUAGGUAAUUAAAGCUAGUAACUUUAAUUUUGUUAGAGAGCAUAAUAUAUCUUAAAUUGUGCUUCCUUGCUUAACUUAAUCAUAGCAAAGUAACUAUUAGAUUUAUCAUUCAUAGUCCAAUUUGUGCUUAUAUCGAUUUUGUGUUUAACCUAUGCUUGAUCAUUGCAUGGUAAUUCAUAAAUUGGUACAUCUAGGUAUUUGAUCAUAAUAACUAGUAAAUUAAUGAAUUGGUAUAUCCUGAUAGCAUGUGUUUGCACCAUAAUCCAUUGACAAAACAUUGUGAAGUCUCAUCAGCUUAUGGUUUUUUAUGUUGAAUCAAUAACUACUUUUAUUAGAAGAAUCAGGAGAAGAAUGGUAUGAUACAUUUAAUACACUCUAGUGUUUUGGUGUACCCAUCGACAUAGAGUUUCCAAGCUCUCAUUAACAUUUGUUAUUAAAUGUAGAAUCAUAAAACUUUAAAUAAGAAAAUUGGCCAAGAAUGGAUUUAUGCAUGUGAUAGUCUAUGGUAGAUAGACUAACCAUUUGCACCUAUUUUCAAGAUCUCAUCAGUGUAUGGUACUUUACACUGAAUCAUUAAACUUUAAAGAAGAAAAUAAGGCAAUAAUGGAUUGGUGUGUGUGAUAGCCUACACUACAGUAGUACAUAGACUAAUCAUCGACACAAAAUUUUCAAGCUCUCAUCAGUGUAUUGUAUUUUACGAUGAACUAUGAAACUUUACAGAAGAAAAUCAGGGCAAUAGUGGGUUGAUGUGUAUGAUAAACAAUAAUACAUAGUUUAACCAUCAUCAUAGAAUUGUAAACUUUCAUCAGUAUGUGGUUUUCACAGUGAGUUGUUAAGUUCUGGUAAGAAGAAGUUGAGAGAAAUGGAUGUUUCAGUCACACUGAAGUGAAAUCAACGUGAAUGAUAAAAUAGUUUAAACUCAUCAACAAAAGUGUUUUCAUCUUCCAUAUCAUAGAGUUAAGUGUCAGUUUAAAAUAUUCAAUUCACCAUCAAUUUGUUUAAUAUGGUACAAUACAAGAAUGAAAGAAGAUAAGAAAAUGGAAAACAACCAGAAUACUUUAAAGAGAAAAUUUCAAGCUUUUGCAGAAUAAUCAUAAAAAUGAUUGAAACAUUUUGCAAGAGCAUCAUAAAAGUUUAUACGAAAAAUAUUUUGAGUUGAAUACUCAUAAAAGAGUUUCCUUUUUCAAAGAUAUAUCUUAUUAGGAAUUAACUUUAAAAGAUAAGAAAUUAGCAUCUCAAACCAUAAAAAAAAAUACUACAAACAAGGGAAUAGACAUAAUUCUUAUCCAUUGAUAGGAUAAGAGAAUUGAUGAUACGGUCUUUGUAACCAUCGAGUUAAAAGUUUCUAAUAUGUGGGAGCUUCGAGAUGCCGAAAUCAACAGGGAGGUAGUUGAGGUUUUAUUGAAGGUACUUGAGGUUUUAUUGGAUUAUGAGCCAGUAGAUGCACGUAGGAGUAAAUGUAAUAUCAGUGACUGCUUGUAACCAUGACAUAGGAAGGAGGGGUAGGAGAGCAUCGUCAAGAAGAAGAGGACAUGAUUCAGUCUUUCACUUCAUAUCCUCAUUUGCAUAAGAUGAAGGUGGCUGAGGUGACAUCAAGGGCAAUCAGGAAAUUCACUAAGCCUCUAGCUCUUUUAAUAUGGAGUCAAGUGACAAUUCUGAGUGUAAACGUCACCAUUCAUUACUUACGAAUUGAUAGUUGCAACCAUUUCAAGAGUAAGAAGACGAUUCAAUCUUGCAACUUCGGGGAUGUAAGAAAGAUAAGUGAUGCACAAGAAUGAAGAUACAUGAGAAAUAAAUUAGAGAGGCAAAGAGAUGAAAACAAUGUAAUUACUAGAUAUAUAUAGAAAAGGAAGCAAGCAAUGUCAAGAAUUUUUCUAAAAAGAAAGAAAAAGAAUAAAAGCAUUUUGACUUUAUGUUUUUGUGUUUUAAUAAAAGCAUUAAGAAAAUAAGUAAAGAGAAAUUAAGUCAUUGACAACAUUAGGGGUGAGCAUUUGGACCGGUGGAUCGGACCAGACCCGACCGGACCGUUUUUUUGGACCCCCGGGCCGGUUCUCGGUUCUAAGAUUUCUCUCCGGUCCGGUCCGGUUUUUUUCCCGGUUCGGUCCGGUUUUUACCGGGUUUAGAACCGGUUGGACAUGAUUAUGAUUUUUGUGACGUUUUUUAAACACCUAUAACUCAUUCGUUUUAAGUCGGAUUGACCUGCGUUUUUUUCCAAUAUUUAGUUUACAGUUUGUAGAUAAAUUUAGACUAUAAUUUUGUUUAUUUUGGUAUUAUAUUCACCGCGUUACAAUCCUUCAAAGUAGAGCUAUCAAAGCUUAAAAAAUUCAGCCUUUCAGCAACAUUUUGUAAUCUGUGACGUUUUUUAAACACCCAUAACUCAUUCGUUUUAAGUCGGAUUGACCGGUGAGUUUUUUCAACAUUUAGUUUAUAGUUUGUAGAUGAAUUUAGACUAUAAUUUUGUUUAUUUUGGUAUUAUAUUCACUGAGUUACAAUCCUUCAAAGUAGAGCUAUCAAAGCUGAAAUAUUUAAGGUUUUUAGUAUUAUUUUAUACUAUAAUUUCGAGUCCGUGUUUAGCACAUGUGGUAGAGUUGUAAGUAAGUAUCAGACUAGUUUAUCAAUAUUGAUAGUUGAAGCUUUGUUAUGCACCCAAGAUUGGGUGAUAAAGUCUACAAAUUCGAUAGUUGACAACGUUGAUGACAUCUUGAACGAUGAUGAUAUAGCUUUGGGUAAAAAAAAUUACAAUCUUUAUUCUUUUUUUAUACAAUUAUUAUUUUUUAUUAAAUACUAACAACAUUUUCAUUUGUGUUUAUGUAGAGAUUGCACAAGAUUUAAAUAUGUUACUUAUGGAUGACAAUGAUAUGGGGAAGAGACCAAUAGAAGAUUAGAUUAUGAGUUUAUGAAGUUUAUUAGUUUGAUUGAUUUUAAAGUUUAAACUAUGAUUUUUGUUGUUACGGUAAUACUUUUGUAUGUUUAUCUUAAGAUUGUUUAAAUUUUGUUGGCAAACUUGAUUUAUAUGUUAGUUGCUUUUAUUUGGAAAAUUAAUUUUUGCAAAUUGCAAGUUAUAAUAUCAUACAUCAAUGUAGAUUAGUUAGGCAUGAAACGGAAACGUAUUAAUUUUGCAAGUUCUAAUAUUAUACAUCAAUGUAGAUUACUUAUUAUACUCUAUGCAAUUAAACUUGUACCGGUCCAAACGGGUCCAAAAACCGGAAAGCCCGGACCUGGACCUGGACCCGGACACAGACACGACUCAUCCGGUCCGGUCCAUGGUCCACAAAAUUCUCCAUAACCGGUCCGGUCCAAGAGCCGGUCCGGUCCGGGCCGGGCCAAAUGCUCACCCCUAGACAACAUGCCAAGAUCAACAACCAAUUUGUUUAAAGUCUUCUCAUCUUGGGCCUUAGUGAAAAUAUUCUCCACUUAAUCAACGGUAUGGAUGUAGAACAAGUCUACUUUGCCUUUUUGAACAAUUUCCCUGAUAAAAUGAUGGUGGAUAUCAAUGUGCUUUGUCUUUGAAUGUUGUACCGGAUUUUGAAUCAUUUGGAUGGUACUUGUGUUAUCACAGCAUACGAGAGUCUUUGAGAAAGAAAAAACAUAGUCUAGGUGUAACAUCCUGAUUUUCCCAGGUAUAUUAUUUAUUUAAUUAUUUUGGAGUUUGUGGAGGAACUUGGCGAGUUGGAGCCAAGACUAGCCGAGUAGAGUCGCGGUUAUUCAUCCGGGUUCACGUCCGGACUCGGCGAGUCCACGCUGUUUAAUGAAAACCUAAUCCCCCGGGUUUGGAGCCUAUUUAAGGGCACUUAUAGCCUCCCAUUGUGGCUACCAGUCCCUUGAGAGAACCCUAAGAGAGAUAAAAUGUUGUGAGAGAGAAGAAGUCACUUUUUGAUCCUUGUAUCCUUGGUUUAGCAAGAAGAAGGUGACAAGAGCAAAGAGGAGGUGCGAUUCAAGCAGAUCCAGAGUUCAGAGACUUCAUUUUGAGGUAAUAGUUCAGACCUCCUUCAGUUUUAGUGUUUAUCUUUAGAGUUAGGGUUUUCUAACCCCCUUUGGAGAGUGAUUAUGUGUAGCAAAUGGUCCCUCUUCGAGUUUGUGCCUUGGAUUUGGACUCAAAGAGGUCCAGAGACCUUAACCCUUGGAGCUUUAUGGGUUAGUUUGGGGUUAUUGGAAUUAGGUUGCCAUUUUUGGGACCAAAUCUCCUUUUGAUGCCUUGUUGUGGUUAUACAAGCAUCAAGUUUCGAACUUUGCGUGACAUUCAUGCUUGGGGAGGUCAGAUCUAUGGUUUGGGGAAACAGAUCUGACCUCAGGAGGUCAAUAGAGUUUGUGCAUGGCAUGAACUCGCCGAGUUGUUCUUGAGACUCGGCGAUUAGGUUUAGGGUUCCACAUAAAUUGUUCAGCGAGUAGACUCACCGGGUUGGGGGAUGACUCAGUGAGUCAGGAGGGAGUUAGAGGACUGGAGUUCAAGGCGGUACUCACUGAGUUGUUCUUGAGACUCGACGAGUUGAGUCGGGGUGGCCCCACGAUUCAUGUCUGGUAUGACUCGUCGAGCAUAGGGAGGGACUCGGCGUGUCAAGCGGGACAAGAGUUAGAGGACAUGUGGGAACUCAUCGAGUCACCAGGGUGCACUCGGCGAGUAGGGUCAAGGUGUGACCGUUGACUUUUGUUGACUUUUAGGGUUUGGUCAGCGAUGUGGCCUUUGGGCCAAGAGAGGGGUAAAAUGGUAUUUUACCCUUAAGAGGGUGUCAAGAGAGGGUUGAUUCUAGUCUCGAGAGUUAUAUUCAUGAGAGUAUUUUCCUUAUGUGUUAGGCGGUGGCGAGUUCGAGAUUCAAGUGUGAGGAUAUCUACUUUCUGCUUACCAGGUGAGUCUUCUCACUAUACUUUACCUUGAGUGGUAACAGAGUUAUGUGAUAGAGAUAUUACAUGCUAUCUAUGUGAUGUGUGGCACUGCAUUAUUUCUAUGUGAUUUAUGUUGUGUGUAUAUCAGAGUUAGGACCAGAGGGUCCGCAAAGUUAGGGCCAGAGGGCCCACAGAGAGCUAGGACUGGAGGGUCCCACUGAGACAUACUGACCGGAGGGUCAACAGAGAUUAUAGCUUCGAGUGGCUAAUAUGUGUUAGAGUGGUAUUUUGGGGAACUCACUAAGCUUCGUGCUUACAGUGUUUUGUGUUACGUGUUUCCGGUUUCCUCAAGAUCACGGGACGACACUGGCUCGAUUGUACACACCAGAGGAAGCGUUUGUUUGAGGAUCCUGGUUUAUCUAUUGAUUGAACAAAAGAGUCAUGUAUUGUAAUUUAAACCAAAUGGGAUUUCUAUCAAAAUUAUUAAAGAGAUAAGUAAUUUUAGAUGAAAAUUUUGUUUUGAAAAUUUCGGUGUUACAAGUUAAUAUCAGAGCCUUGUUUUGAGGGAUUCGGAUGCACCUUCGAGUAAAUCUGAACUCAAACUGAGGAAGUAAGAAAAGUUUUCAAAGAAAUGAAAUUGUAAAAGUGAAUAAGAGUUCAAAGAGAAAUCGAGAAAAAGCAGUGUGUACAAUCAGCCAGAGCCCGAACGGUGAUUUUCCCAAAAUACCCUUACUUUUGUGUUAUGAGAUAUUAUGAUACAUUUUAUGAGAUAUUAUGCAUGCUAGAGGCAGGCUAGGUAUUUCAUAUCUUAUGAUUAGAGUGGCCUGAUUUGUGAUUCCUUAGCCUAGGAGUUGUUGUUAUAUGUGCUGUGCUUUUGAGUAUGAGGGAGAGUAUUCAGUUGGAAUCCUCUUAGGGGAUUUGAGUAGAGGAGUAACCUAGGAGAGUCGCCUAGAUGAGUAUUGUGGUGCUUAUCGAAAGAAUAGUUAGAACCCAUGAGGGGUAGAGUUGCAGAGUUCAGUGGUGCUUUUGAGAAUGAGCAGAGCAGGCGGAGUUAUCACCCAAGGUGAGUUCUAUGUAUUCUUCGAUGCCCGAAUGCUGCUUGCUUCGUGCUUUGUGGAACUCUCGAUGAUGGGAGUCAUCUACCAAGUGAAUAUGACGAUAUUCAGGAGGUAGAUGGCUAGAAUCAUUAGGAGCUCUUCAGCAGAUGAUGGCGAAGAAGUGGGAGUGACCUUAGCUAGAUGAGUACGCUGGCAGAGUAGAGCAUUUCACUAAGGAGUAAGCACGCGUGGCAGAAUUAGUGAACAAGAAGGUUGAGCAGCUACUUAGGGACUCUAGAAUGGUCUGUGUGGAAAGUAUGGGUAGAUGUGGCAGGUAGUAUGGGCCCGUACUACCGAAAGCAGAGGACCCAUACUCGAUAUAGGGAGUAUUCUGAAGGUUCUAAGUACCAGAUUGAGGAGUGAUGUUAUGGUACGAGUACCAUACAUCAUAGCAGAUUGAGGAGUGAUGUUCUGGUUUGGGUACCAUACGUCGGAGCAGAUUGAGGAGAGAUGUCAGGGGCUGAGUACCAUGGUUCUUAGCAAUUGAUGCUUGUGAUUCUCCAGUUAACCGAUCAGGAUUGAUUGGUGGAGUAUGGACGCGGUGGGGUUUUAGGCCUGAGGGCCAUGAUUAAGUUCAAAAAGGCAUCCCUAGAGAGGGAGGUCGAGAGCAUUUUUAGAGUACCUUGGUAAGAUGUCAAAGGUAGUCGCAAGACUCCGGGAUAAGUAGAGAAGACAUUUAUGGAGGAUUGCGGUUUGAGUGACCAAUCAGCCGAUGGAGGAGAUGUCACCUUCUUUGACUUGUUGGGUGCUAAUUACGUUUCCUUUGGGAAGUAGGAGAAGUGUGGGAUUUCGGUUUUGGGGUUUAGGAGUAAAACCCUGCGGAAUGACAUUUAUGUCGAUGUUCCAACAGAGUAUCAAGCGGCAUGUUCUCUGCAAGGUAAGGAUAUAUCAUGAGCAUGUAGUCGGUUGGAUCUGAGGUGGUAAAGGACCAUGUUGCACCCUAUCUGAGUAUAGUGGGGCGUGUUGUAGCGGUAUCAGUGGGCAAUCCAGAUGAGUAUAUCAGGGCGGCAACUCUUCUGUCUAUGAUGGAUAUUAAGUAUGGGAGUGAAGUCCCUGUUCUUGUGAUGAUUCAGGUGAUGGAACUUGAGUUGAGAAAUUGAGGUUGAGGAGUACGCUGAUUUAUUGUUUCAGUCUAAGAGUCAGUAAUAUUACUGGAUAGUUGAGGUAUUCGGUAUUGGGAUGGUAUGAGGCUUCGAAUGGCUAGAGACAGUCACGAUGAGAAGUCCCUGAGGAUUUCUUUGGAGAUUUAGGGUAUUUGAAGUUUCUUGAUCUCUAAGUGGGGGAGAUCAUUGGUCGACAUGUGGCAUCUUCCGAGGGUAGGUGCGAUAUUUCUAGUGGAAACAGUCUGUGGGGUGGUUGUGCGUCAAUUGGUGUUGGUUCAAACCCUAAGUGGGGGAGAACCGGGUAUUUUAUUGAGGGAACCAGAGAUUGUGCAAGAGAGGUUAGGGAUUGGAUACAGGAAUCUGGUGGUGACCAGGGCCGUUUCAAGGGGAAGACUCGUAACGGUGGUUCAGGCAGUUAAGAACUUCUGGUUCGAAGUAUGGAUUGCAUAUGUCCCUUUUUAGAUGGAUAGGGGAUUAUCGAGCUGCCAAAUUCCGGGCCGGUGUGUGUAUUUCUGGCGUGGAUUUUGAGCAGUAGGGGAAAAGGGUUUCAGAGGAUCACCAACGUAUUUUGAAGCGUUAGUGCUUUCUUUGUUUCCAAUUGAGUGUUUGGGUACACUGAGGUUUCUCAGUGAGUAACAGAGAAUUAUUUAUGGAGUUCAUAGGAAAUGAAUUGUUGUAUCUGUAUGGUGCUGAGAGUAGGAGAGCAGUGUUUGAGGCAGGAUAUCGUGAUGUCCGUAAUGGUGAUCCGUGGUGACCGGGAAUAAUGUCCCGAUUUCGGAGUUAUUUAGAGCCUUGAGUUUGAGACAACCAAUGGUAUAUCAUGUAUCUACGGUUCCAAUGGGAGCCCGUCGAGUAUUGAAAGCAAAAGGGAUUAUUUUAGAAGAUGGAUCUCCCCAGAGGCAAGUAAUUUUGUUAUAGUGGUUGCCGCUAGAGUCUGUAAUGCAUAUGUGGGACAAGUGUGUUGCUAUCUAUGAUAGUCUACGGGCAUGAGUGAGUGGACAUAGUGUGGCGUUCGGAUGAGUUGACAGUGUGGGGUGAAGCUACGGGGAGCCGUAGUAUUCACUUGACAGAGGGUGUUGUGAUGCUACGGGGAGCCGUAGCAUUCACAAGUCAGAGAGAGGGAGUCGUGGUACUACGGGGAGUCGUAGUACCCACUUGAUAGUUGGUGUUGUGGUGCUAGGGGGAGCGGUAGUACUCACUAGUCAAAGGUCGUCGUGUUAUUGCGGGGAGCCGUAAUACUCACUAGACGGCAAGAGAGUGUGAUGUUGGGGUGUUCCCCUAUCAGUGUUUGAUGCAGAAGAAUUUUAGGCUUGAGCAGCCUUAGUAUAGAGUUUUGGAGCCCAGUGGUUGAACCAAGGGUGGAACUGGGGGUCAGAGUUGAGUCGAUCCUUGGUUGGAAUGUAUUUUAGGAAAAGAGAAUCUCGUGACUUGUGAGUCACUGGGCCGGGAUUGUGGUCACGGGGAGGAAGCUAGUGAGAUAUUUUGGAUCACGUUAUAGGUGAUCUUUGGGGGUUCAGCUGUGGAGUCAAAAGUUGAACUGGUGCUCAGUAUCGAAGUGGGAUAUGAGAAAGGAGCUAGAGUUUGUCAUNCUUGUGAGUCACUGGGCCGGGAUUGUGGUCACUGGGAGGAAGCUAGUGAGAUAUUUUGGAUCACGUUAUAGGUUUUCUUUGGGGGUUCAGUUGUGGAGUCAAAAGCUGAACUGGUGCUCAGUAUCGAAGUGGGAUAUGAGAAAUGAGCUAGAGUUUGUCAUGGUGAUAUAUGAGGACCCUCCCAUUUGCUAGGGAGAGGUAGCGCAUGGACCCGAGAGUCCUUGCGAGCAGAUCUAGAACAUGUGCGAUACAUGGAGUAGUGGCAAGGUUGACAAGUGGAUUUCAUUGGGUAAGGAAAGAGAAAGGUAUGUAACUCCGGGAAGGAGUGUUGGUUCACGGAAGUGAAAGCAGUAGUGAAAACGGAUGAUUAAGAGUAUGGUGGUUGAACACUGUGUCUGUUCCAGUGGUAUGGAAGCACAUCCGGGUUGGGUGUCUGUUGAGGUUGCAGAAGAAUCUCCGUUGGUUUAGAACCAGAGGAGUUCGGAAGAGAUGCAUUUAUAGAGCCUUGGAUUUAAGUAUGGUUGUGAUCUGGAGGUUAUGUUUAUAGUGGUAAUGCAUCCUGGGGAUGUCUGUUGGUAUCAACAGUAUGUCGGGUUUUUCCAAACCGAGGAUGUAGAGCAGGCUCAGCAUGUGUAUGCGAUUUCGAUGGAAAGCUCAUGGGAGUUGCUCAAGGGCUGCAGGGUGUGUCAUCCUGUCAACACGGAAGGAAAAGAGUUAGAUUCCGAAAGGAAGCGGGAUAAGUCCUAGCAGUCAGCACCGGGUCAGGAACACGUGGUUCAGGGUGAUAUCCAGCUUGGUAAGGGCUUAAUGAUUGUUGUGAUUUGGAGUGAUGAAAGUAUCAUCGGGUGAUCAUUUGGCUAAUAAGGGUUGUAAUCAGAGAAAGAAGCCGAUGGUCGGCUUGAUUCGAUUGUCGCGACUCUGUGAGAAGGAGUCAGACCUUAUCGGGGUUUGGUAACAAUGUUGAGGGAACCUGGUCUAGUUAAUGUAAGGAGGUGCAUUCUGAGAGUAAUUCUGGAAUUGUGUGUCGCAGGCUUCGAGGGCGAAGCCUAAUUUAAGUGGGGAGAAUGGUAACAUUCUGAUUUUCCUAGGUAUAUUAUUUAUUUAAUUAUUUUGGAGUUUGUGGAGGAACUCGACGAGUUGGAGCCAUGACUCGCCGAGUAGAGUCGCGGUUAUUCAUCCGGGUUCACGUCCGGACUCGGCGAGUCCAUUAGUGGACUCGGCGAGUCCAUGCUGUUUAAUGAAACCCUAAUUCCCCGGGUUUGGAGCCUAUUUAAUGGCACUUAUAGCCUCCCAUUGCGGCUACCAGUCCCUUGAGAGAACCCUAAGAGAGCUAAAACGCUGUGAGAGAGAAGAAGUCACUUUUUGAUCCUUGUAUCCUUGGUUUAGCAAGAAGAAGGUGACAAGGGCAAAGAGGAGGUGCGAUUCAAGAAGAUCCAGAGUUCAGAGACUUCAUUUUGAGGUAAUAGUUCAGACCUCCUUCAGUUUUAGUGUUGAUCUUUAAAGUUAGGGUUUUCUAACCCCCUUUGGAGAGUGAUUAUGUGGAGCAAAUGGUCCCUCUUCGAGUUUGUGCCUUGGAUCUGGACUCAAAGAGGUCCAAAGACCUUAACCGUUGGAGCUUUAUGGGUUAGUUUGGGGUUAUUGGACUUAGGUUGCCAUUUUUGGGACCAAAUCUCCUUUUGAUGCCUUGUUGUGGUUAUACAAGCAUCAAGUUUCGAACUUUAAGUGACAUUCAUGCUUGGGGAGGCUAGAUCUAUGGUUUGGGGAAACAGAUCUGACCUUAGGAGGUCAAUAGAGUUUGUGCAUGGCAUGAACUCGCCGAGUUGUUCUUGAGACUCGGCGAGUAGGGUUAGGGUUCCAUGUAAAUUGUUCAGCGAGUAGACUCGCCGGGUUGGGGGAUGAAUCAGUGAGUCGGGAGGGAGAUAGAGGACUGGAGUUCAAGGGGGUACUCGCUGAGUUGUUCUUGAGAGUCGAUGAGUUGAGUCGGGGUGGCCCUGCGAUUCAUGUCUGUUAUGACUCGUCGAGCAUAGGGAGGGACUCGGCGUGUCAAGCGGGACAAGAGUUAGAGGACAUGUGGGAACUCAUCGAGUCACCAGGGUGCACUCGGCGAGUAGGGUCAAGGUGUGACCGUUGACUUUUGUUGACUUUUAGGGUUUGGUGAGCGAUGUGGCCUUUGGGCCAAGAGAGGGGUAAAAUGGUCUUUUACCCUUAAGAGGGUGUCAAGAGAGGGUUGUUUCUAGUCUCGAGAGUUAUAUUCAUGAGAGUAUUUUCCUUAUGUGUUAGGCGGUGGCGAGUUCGAGAUUCAAGUGUGAGGAUAUGUACUUUCUGCUUGCCAGGUGAGUCUGCUCACUAUACUUUACCUUGAGUGGUAACAGAGUUAUGUGAUAGAGAUAUUAUAUGCUAUCUAUGUGAUGUGUGGCACUGCAUUAUUUCUAUGUGAUUUAUGCUGUGUGUAUAUCAGAGUUAGGACCAGAGGGUCCGCAGAGCUAGGGCCAGAGGGCCCACAGAGAGCUGGGACUGGAGGGUCCCACUGAGACACACUGACCGGAGUGUCAACAGAGAUUAUAGCCUCGAGUGGCUAAUAUGUGUUAGAGUAGUAUUUUGGGGAACUCACUAAGCUUCGUGCUUACAGUGUUUUGUGUUAUGUGUUUCAGGUUUCCUCAGGAUCACGGGACGGCAUCGGCUUGAUUGUACACACCAGAGGAAGCGCUUGUUUGAGGAUCCUGGUUUAUCAAUUGAUUGAACAAAAGAGUCGUGUAUUGUAAUUUAAACCAAAUGGGAUUUCUAUGAAAAGUAUUAAAGAGAUAAGUAAUUUUAAAUGAAAAUUUUGUUUUGAAAAUUUUGGUGUUACACGAGGAGCUGAUUCUAAAUCUAAAGAAUCUAAGUAUAACAUCUUCCAGUGGCUACGUAUUCAGCUUUAGCGGUAGAGCAUGCCACUGAUGUAUGUUUCUUGCUGGAUCAGCUCACAAUCCUAUUUCCUAGCAUUUGAGCUCCUCCAUGAUCACAGUCUAUAAAUCCCACUAGUUUGAACUUAGAGUCAUGAGGAUACCAUAACCCAAGAUUAGGUGUAUGUUUUAAGUAGUGAAAGAUCCUUUUUAUAGCCAACAGAUGGGACUCAUUUAGGGUAGCUUGAUAUCGAGCACACAAUAUCGUAGUAAACAUUAGAAAUUAUCAUUCCACGAUACAAUGUUGCAUUCACAUGAGUGCCAACUUGAUCAUCAAAAAUAGACGUUGAUGGAGACAUUGGAGUUUUUGCUGGUUUAGAGUUAGAAAAACCAUAUCUCUUCAGCAAAUCUGAGAUGUAUUUUUCUUGGAAAAUUUAAGCUUCCAUCAGUGAGUUGCUUAACCUAAAAAGAAUGAUAGUUCACUCAUCAUGCUCAUUUCAAAAAUUUUGGCGAUAACAUUAGCAAACUCAUAACUCAGUUUCUCAUCAGUGGAUCCAAAUAUGAUGUUGUCGACAUACACUUGAGCAAGAAUAAUGUAAGAUCUAGUUGCUUGAUGAACAAAGUGUUGCCGAGUGCUCCAUGUUUGUAUCCAUUCUCUAGAUGAUAACUAGCUAAAGUGUUAUACCAUGUCCUGGGAGCUUGUUUCAAGCCAUAGACGACUUUAUCUAGAAGAUACACCUGAUCAGGGAAUUCUUCACUUUCAAAUCCUAGAGGUUGUUUUAGAAAAACUUCGUCUUGAAGAUCCCCAUUGUAACAGCCCGAAAUCCAGGUAAGCUUAUGACCCUUUUUAUUUUGGAGAGUUGGCAUAUUAGUCCCUCAAAGUUGUAUGUGAUGGGUUUUGAGCAUUCUAACACUUCCUAAGUGUACAUGAAACCCUAAUAGCCUUGGAUCUAUGUUUGUCUAAUUAUCAUGCAAAGUUGAUUUCCAUGUCUAUGAUCCUAUCUAGCAUACAUGGGGAACAAUUUUAACUUAAAUAAUAGAGAGAAUUACAUACCUUGUUGUUGUAAAUGUUCCUUGAAACCUUGUGAGCCUAGCACCCCAAGUGUGAUGCCUCAAAUGCUUCACACAACACCAAAUGCUAUGGAGUAAACUUGGAGAGAAAGUAUAACACACUAAAAUCAGCUCUAGCCCUCUUGUUUCUUGGUGUAACCGGUUUUGGGAGAACACAUGAGCUUUAUAUAGUGUUGACACAUCUUGGGUUACACCAUGUAAACCCUAAUGUGUGAUGAGUCUUCAUUUCCAUGACCCAUGGGUUUGUAACUACCAUGGAGCCUCCAUGGAGCAUCCAAUGGGUUUAACCCAACUUGAUUAUCCAUGGAGCCUCUAAGCCCACUAUAUAAGUUAUGGAUGAUUUACAUACCAGAAAUAGUUAUGGACUUACAUACCUUAUCCAACAGUAUGGUGGAUUAGUGAGUACGUUGGGCGUACUGAAGUGUACGCCGCGCGUACUCACAAGCUUAAAUUGGAUGCAGACUCGCCCGGGUACGCUGGGCGUACCCAGGGGUUACGUUGGGCGUAGCGAGCCCAGAUGCAAACCCUAAUUCCUGGCUUUUUCGCUAUAAAAGGAACAUGUAGUCCCUUGCCCUAGCCACCAUAUCCCCUUGAGUGAGUCCUUUGAGAGCGGAGAUACGUGCUUUAGCUUGUGUGUGUGUUUUUGAGCUUGAAGUUAUCUUUUCAAGGUGAAGAAGGAGAAGAAGGAGCCAUUGUUGGAGCUAGAAGUUGAAGAACAAGUGUAGAUCCGAGUUCUAUAGUGGUUGGAGAUCCUUUCUGAGGUAAAAAGCUCAAAGCUUUCCGUGUUCUUUAUAAGUUUUGCUUUUUGGACCAUUUUUAAGGUUUUUGGUUCAAAGUUGGAGACUUUAUGUGCAAAGAGUCUCCAUCAGCUUAGACCUGACCUUUUCUAGUGUAUAAUGUGUUGAGGAGUCAUAAAAAUCUAGUCUUGGACGUGGAUCUUGUAUUAUGCAUAAGUUAUAGUCUCAUUAUGGAAAGAGGAAAGGUGUUUUAAGCACAAAGUGACCUUUACAGCCAUGCAAAGGCUUAAAGGUUUCAACUUUAUGGAUUAACUCACAUUAGAGGAGUCGGAUCUGAAGUUUGGAUGCAAGUCUUAACUGAUUAAGACCUGCAUAAGAUGGAUAAGCAAACUGGGCAUUAAGUUGGGGGUAAUCCCAGUAUGUGCGGUGUAAGCAGCUGCGCACCCCGUUUCUGUGAAGGCUUCGGGUACGCCCAACGUACACGUUUGGUACGCGCAGCGUAACCCGGGGGGUUGACUUUUAUUGGCUUUUAGGGUUUGGUCAAUUUUAGUGUAAUUGAGCCAAGUAAGGGGUAAAAUGGUCUUUUACCUUCCUGGGAGUGAUUAAAGGGAAUGGUCUAGCAUAGGGAAAUGUGUUAAUGUUGAGUGUUAUUUCAUAUGAUUAGGCAGAGGCUAGAUCUUAUCCUACGGAGUCCGAGAUUUCUGAGAUUUACGAGUUACCGAGCUACACGAGGUGAGUCUUCUCACUAUACGUUACCUAGAGUGGUAUUUAUGUGGACCGGAGGGUCUUAUGUGUUAUCUAUGAGAUUAUAUGAAUCUAUGUGCUAUGUGAUAUUUGCAUGUUAUAUGAUUGUAUAGACUGGACCGGAAGGUCCAAUGAUAUAGACCGGACUAGAGGGUCGAACGAUUCAGACCGGGCCGGAGGGCCCAACGAGCUAUGGGACUGGAGGGUCCCGUUGAGACACAUCGACCGGAGGGUCGUACUGUACCCUCGAGUGGCGUAUGUGUUGUAUAUGGUAUUUUGGGGAACUCACUAAGCAAUUAUGCUUACAGUCGUUGUGUUAUGUGUUUCAGGUACUAGCGAGGACCGUGAGAAGGUGCCGGUGUGACUCGUACACACUAAAGGAGGGAUUUGUUUUUGUGAUCCUGGGAUAUGUUAUGUUUUGAUAACUAUGGUUGAAUACUUUUGAGAAUAUUUUUAUAUAAAUUUGGUUGAUGAAAAAUGAAAAAUUGUUUUGAAAAUCACGUUGUUACAAGUUGGUAUCAGAGCCUUGGUUUGAGGGACUCGGAUGCACCUUUGGGCGUAUCUGAACUCAAACUGAGGAUUUGAGAAAUUUUCAACAAUAAAAACUAAAUUUUCUAAAAGAGCAAAGAGUUUUGAAACAAACAGAUUAGAGCAGUGUGUACGGUCAACCAGCGCCCGAACGGUGAAUCCCCAAAAUACCCUUACAUUAUGUGUUAUGAGAUAUGCUAUGUUAUGUUAUGCAUGCUAGAGUAGGCUAGGUAUUCAUAUUAGGACUAGAGUGGCCUGAUUUGUGAUGCCUUAGCCUAGGAGAUUUCUGCUACUAUGAGAUGCCUUGAGACCGAGUAGGUAGCAGUUAGGAGCUCAUGAGUGGUCUAUCGGAGGGUAGCCAAUGCAUAGUGAGAGUAGAGUACUUGCAAUCCGGGAUCCAAGGAGGAGGACUUGAGGUGAAUGCUAAUACGGUGUGGUCAGUAGUAUAGGGCCCGUACUAUUGAAGACACCGGAUCAGUAUGCAGCCCAAGUAAGAAUCCUUUGGGUAUUGGAGGACGAGUAGGGUUGUGUUAUCGAGUGCGAGUAUGCUCGAUCGAGUCUCUGAUAUAUUUAUUUUGUAUUUCAGAGGCAUCAUGGUUGGGACACGACACACACCUGAGAGUAGUGGGGUCAGUGACAAGGAGAUCCGUCGUUUGAUUCAUGAGGAGGUGGCUAGUGCCAUCCGGGCUGAGAUUCCAGAGAUGUUUGAGGACAUCAAGACCACACUGAUUGAGACCUUUGAUGAGCGGUAUGUAGCGGUGACUGAGGCUGCAGUUGCUGCAGCUACUGCUGAUGUGGCUGCUGCCAGACCUCAGGGAGGUGACUCGUUGUUGUUUCGGGAGUUCAGCAACACGAAGCCACCAGAGUUCGAUGUGGCGCAAGACCCGAUUGCUGCGAUGAGAUGGAUCUCUGAAAUCGAGGGAUGUUUCUAUACGUGUUCUUGUCCAGAACACUUGAGGGUGCGGUUCACUCUGAACCAGCUCCGCUUGGGAGCGAAGGAUUUGUGGAAGUUCGUGACGGCGAGCUUCACUCUGGCAGAGAUUUCUGAGGUGACCUGGGAGAGGUUCACCACCAUGUUCAGAGAUGAGUAUGUUCCCCCGGUGGAGAGGGAACGAUUGAUUCAGGAGUUCUUGACCCUCAAGCAGGGUACUGAUUAUGUUACAGUCAUUACCAGGAAGUUUUAGGAGAGGGCGAUGUUUUCCCUUGAGCAAGUGUCUACUGAGCAGGCUCGCAUGAGCCGAUAUCUGAGUGUUUUGAGGAGAGAUAUUCGAGAGUUCGUGGUGAACUUGACUUACCGUACAUUUGCUGAGUUCCAGGAAAAUGCCCAGAAAAGGGAGAUCGAGUUGGAGACUCAGGCCAGGGUGGAGGCCGAGUCCCAGUGGAUGGAUCGGCGGAAGGCUUAGUCUCAUCCAACAACCAAGUAAGUUAAGCCCGCUGAUUCGAGAUCUAGGGGCGUGAAGGGUCGGACUUGUGGGAAGUGCGGCAAGAGUCACGAGGGGUCGUGUCGGGUUGGAGUAUGCUACAAGUGCUGGAAGGAGGGGCAUAUCACGAGGGAUUGCCCCAAGGGAUUUUCGGUUUGCUUCCAUUGCAACCAGACCGACCAUCGGAAGGCCGAGUGCCCUCAGCUUCCACAGGGAUCUGUGCCGGCGACCAGGACUACUGAGGUUCGUCCAGUGAAGGCUGAGGCGCCAAAGGCUCGUGGGAGGGCCUUUCAGUUGACAGCGGAGGAGGUCCACGCAGCACCCGACGUUGUGGCCGAUAUGUAUUCUUCUCUCUAUUUAUUUAAGUCUGAGAUAUUAUGCUUAUAUUAUGUUAUGCGUAGGUACUUUUCUUGUGAAUUUUGUACCUGCCUUAGUGCUAUUUGACUCGGGAGCGAGUCGAUCUUUUGUGUCAUUAGCCUUCAGUCACCAUAUUAGUAUUUGUCGAGAGGCCUUGAGUCGACCUCUGCGAGUUUCUAUAGCUAAUGAGUGAGCAGUGUAUGCCACAGAUGCGAUUCGAGGAUGUAUCCUUGAGAUCUUUGGUGUGGAGUUCCCGAUAGAUCUGGUUACGAUUGCGAUGGUGGAUGUGUGUGUUAUAGUGGGCAUGGAUUGGUUGAGCCAAUUUGGAGCUAUUAUAGACUGCGAGCGUCAGUUGGUGACAAUACAAGACCCUAGUGGGGGAGUACUUAUGGUGUACGGAGAGGGUACCCAUCCUGAGUCAACAUUUUGUUCAGCUGCUAAGGCGAGACAGAGUUUACAGCAGGGCUGUAGAGGAUUCGUGGCCUAUGUGAUGGACACGCGAGUGGCCGCUGGGAGGCCAAGUUCAAUUGAUGAGGUCCCAAUUGUGCGGGAGUUCCCAGACAUUUUCCCUGAGGAGUUGUCGGGCGUGCCUCCCGAGAGGCAGGUGGAGUUUCAUAUCGACUUGGUGCCAAGGGUGACACCUAUUGCCAAGGCACCCUAUUGCCUUGCGCCGUCCGAGAUGCAGGAGUUAUCCUCGCAGCUUAAGGAGCUGUUGGGAAAGGGGUUUAUUAGACCAAGUAGCUCACCUUGGGGAGCGCCAAUCCUUUUUGUCAAGAAGAAGGAUGGUUCACACUGGAUGUGUAUCAAUUACCGGGAGUUGAACAAGUUGACGGUCAAGAACCGUUAUCCGUUACCAAGGAUUGACGAUCUGUUUGAUCAGUUGCAGGGGUGUCUUGGUUCUCCUAGAUAGACUUGAGGUCGGGAUAUCACCAGAUGAGGGUCUGGGAUGAGGACAUCCAGAAGACAGCGUUCAGAACUCGUUACGAGCAUUACGAGUUCGUGGUGAUGCCAUUCGGGCUCACCAACGCACCAGUAGCGUUCAUGGAUCUCAUGAAUCGGGUGUGCAGGCCGAUGUUGGAUCGAUCGAUGAUUGUUUUCAUCGAUGAUAUCUUGGUAUAUUCGAAAUCCAGAGCGCAGGAUGAGGAGCAUUUGAGGGAAAUCCUCGGAGUUCUGGGAUCGGAGAGGCUUUAUCCAAAUUCUCCAAGUGUGAUUUUUGGUUACGGGAGGUCCACUUCCUAGGGCAUCUCGUUAACCAGCAGGGGAUAUUGGUCGAUUCGGCCAAGAUUGAGGCUGUGAUGAGCUGGGAGGUGCCGAGGUCACCUACAGAGAUCAAGAGUUUCUUAGGGCUAGCAGGGUAUUAUCGGAGAUUUAUCAGGGAUUUCUCCAAGAUCGUCGUGCCAGUCAACAAGUUGACCCGGAAGGGUGUUACUUUUUCUUGGGGUCCAGAGUAGCAGACCUCGUUCGAGACACUUUGCCAGAGAUUAUGCGAAUCCCCGGUGUUGUCCCUUCCGGAGGGAAUGGAGGAUUUCGUGGUGUGUUAUGAUGCAUCAAUAUCAGGGUUGGGAGUAGUGCUUACGUAGAGGGGGCAUGUGAUAGCAUAUGCAUCGAGACAACUAAAGCGUCAUGAUUCGAGGUAUCCCACUCACGAUCUGGAAUUGGGGGCAGUAGUGUUCGCCCUCAAAAUCUGGCGGCACUAUUUGUAUGGGGUUCGGUGUACGAUAUUCACGGACCACAAAAGAUUGAAGUAUUUGAUGGAUCAGCCCAAUCUGAACAUGUGCCAGAGGAGAUGGCUGGAUGUGGUGAAGGAUUACGACUGUGAGAUCUUGUACCACCCAGGCAAGGCUAAUGUUGUAGCCAAUGCCCUGAGCCGAAGGGCAGAGGGCGCCCCGAUACAAGAUGUUUGCAUGAGAUUGACAGUGAUGAAUCCGGUAUGGGGCACCAUUCGAGGGGCCCAGGCAGAGGCCCUGAGACCGGAGAACCACAAGAGAGAGCGAGUGAUCGGGCAGGUAUCAAAGUUUGUUACCGAUAGUUGAGGACUUAUGACCUUCCAGGGUCGGGUUUGGGUACCGUUUGUGGGCGAAACGCGUACCGUCUUGAUGGAGGAGGCGUAUAGAUCGAAGUUCUCGAUCCACCCCGGGGCCACUAAGAUGUAUUUGGACCUGAAGAAGGAGUAUUGGUGGCCAUGUAUGAAAAGGGAUGUUUCAUGGUUCCUAGAGAGGUGCUUGACCUAUCGCAAGGUUAAGGCCGAGCACCAGCGCCCGCAUGGUAUGUUACAGCCGUUAGAGAUUCCCGAGUGGAAGUGGGAACAAAUUACCAUGGAUUUUAUCACCAAAUUGCCGAGGACUGCUGGGGGUGUCGAUGCAAUUUGGGUGAUUGUGGACAGGUUGACGAAGAGCGCUCAUUUCCUUGCCAUCAGUGAGAGCUCUUCUACAGAGAGGCUGGCAGAAUUGUACGUGAAGGAGGUGGUAUCGCAGCAUGGAGUACCGAUCUCGAUUGUCUCAGAUCGAGAUGUGCGUUUCACUUCCAGAUUUUGGAAGAAAUUUCAUGAGGAAAUGGAUACGAGACUGUAUUUUUGUACCGCGUACCACCGACAGAUCGACGGGCAGAGCGAGCGGAUGAUUCAGACACUCGAGGACAUGCUUCGGGCAUGUGUACUGGAUUUUGACAGGAGUUGGGACACGUACUUGCCCUUGGCUGAGUUUUCCUAUAACAACAGCGAUCACUCGCGCAUUGGUAUGCCACCUUUUGAGCUGUUGUAUGGAAGGAUGUGUCGUACCCCCAUUUGCUGGGGCGAAGUAGGACAGCAUGUGAUGGGUAGUAUAGAGAUAGUGCUUCAGACAACAGAGCAUAUACAACAGAUUACACAGAGGUUGACGACCACUCAGAGUCGCCAGAAAAGUUAUGCAGAUAGGCGACGAUCCGAACUCGAGUUCCAGGUCGGUGAUUUUGUGCUCCUGAAGGUAUCUCCUUGGAAAGGAGUGAUCCGAUUCAGGAAGAGGGGCAAGCUGGGACCCCAGUAUAUUGGGCCGUUUAGAGUGAUCGUGAGGGUGGGCAAGGUAGCAUAUCGCUUGGAGCUACCUGCGGAGUUGGACCAGAUUCAUGAUACCUUCCACGUGUCGUAGCUCAGGAAGUGUAUUGUCGAUGAGUCGGCAGUGGUUCCCUUAGAGGAUAUCCAGGUGGGCGAAAGUCUAAAUUAUGCUGAGAAGCCGAUCGCAAGCUUGGAUUGGAGGAUCAAGGUUCUGAGGAACAAGGAAGUGCCCUUGGUUCAGGUCCAGUGGUAACAUCAGAGAGGGUCUGAGCUGACCUGGGAGCCAGAGUCAGAGAUGCGGGAGCAGCAUUCGAAGUUGUUCGCAGCAUAAGACUUCAAGGGCGAAGUCUGGUUUUAGUGGGGGAGAAUUGUAACAGCCCAAAAUCCAGGUAAGCUUAUGACCCCUUGUAUUUUGGAGAGUUGGCAUAUUAGUCCCUCAAAGUUGUAUGCUGGAUUAGUGAGUAUGUUGGGCGUACUGAAGUGUACGCUGCGCGUACUCACGCACUUAAAUUGGACGCGGACUCGCCCAGGUACGCUGGGCGUACCUAGGGUUACGUUANACCCCUUUUAUUUUGGAGAGUUGGCAUAUUAGUCCCUCAAAGUUGUAUGCUGGAUUAGUGAGUAUGCUGGGCGUACUGAAGUGUACGCUGCGCGUACUCACGCACUUAAAUUGGACGCGGACUCGCCCGGGUACGUUGGGCGUACCUAGGGUUACGUUAGGCGUAGCGAGCCCAGAUGCAAACCCUAAUUCCUGGCUUUUGCACUAUAAAAGGAACAUGUAGUCCCUUGCCCUAGCCACCAUAUCCCCUUGAGUGAGUCCUUUGAGAGCUGAGAUUCGUGCUUUAGCUUGUGUGUGUGUUUUUGAGCUUGAAGUUAUCAUUUCAAGGUGAAGAAGGAGAAGAAGGAGCCAUUGUUGGAGCUAGAAGUUGAAAAACAAGUGUAGAUCCGAGUUCUACAGUGGUUGGAGAUCCUUUCUGAGGUAAAAAGCUCAAAUCUUUCCUUGUUCUUCAUAAGUUUUGCUUUUUGGACAAUUUUAGGGUUUUUGGUUCAAAGUUGGAGACUUUAUGUGCAAAGAGUCUCCAUAAGCUUAGAUCUAACCUUUUCUAGUGUAAAAUGUGUUGAGGAGUCAUAAAAAUCUAGUCUUGGACAUGGAUCUUGUGUCAUGCAUGAGUUAUAGUCUCAUUAUGGAAAGAGGAAAGGUGUUUUGAGCACAAAGUGACCUUUACACCAAUGCAAAGGCUUAAAGGUUUCAACUUUAUGGAUUAAGUCACAUUAAAGGAGUCAAAUAUGAAGUUUGGAUGUAAGUCUUAACUGAUUAAGACCUGAAUGAGAUGGAUAAUGAAAUUGGGCAUUACGCUGGGCGUAAUCCCAGUAUGCGCAGCGUAUGCAGCUGUGCACCCCGUUUCUGUGAAGACUCUGGGUAUGCCUAACGUACACGUUUGGUACGCGCAGCGUAACCCGGGGGUGACUUUUGUUGACUUUUAGGGUUGGUCAAUUUUAGUGUAACUGAGCCAUGUAAGGGGUAAAAUGGUCUUUUACUUUCCUGGGAGUGAUUAGAGGGAAUGGUCUAGCCUAGGGAAAUGUGCGUAUGUUGAGUGUUAUUACAUAUGAUUAGGCAGAGGCUAGAUCUUAUCCCACGGAGUCCGAGAUUUCUGAGAUUUACGAGUUAGCGAGCUACACGUGGUGAGUCUUCUCACUAUACGUUACCUAGAGUGGUAUUUAUGUGGACCGGAGGCUCUUAUGUGUUAUGUAUGAGAUUAUGUGAAUCUAUGUGCUAUGUGAUAUUUGCAUGUUAUAUGAUUGUAUAGACCGGACUGUAAGCUCCAAUGAUACAGACCGAACCAGAGGGUCCAACGAUUCAGACCGGGCUGGAGGGCCCAACGAGCUAUGGGACUGGAGGGUCCCGCUGAGACACAUCGACCGGAGGGUCGUACUGUACCCUCGAGUGUCGUAUGUGUUGUAUAUGGUAUUUUGAGGAACACACUAAGCAAUUAUGCUUAUAGUCGUUGUGUUAUGUGUUUCAGGUACUAGCGAGGACCGUGGGAAGGUGCCGGUGUGACUCGUACACACUAGAGGAGGGAUUUGUUUUUGUGAUCUUGGGAUAUGUUAUGUUUUGAUAACUAUGGUUGAAUACUUUUGAGAAUAUAUUUAUAUAAAUUUGGUUGUUGAAAAAUGAAAAUUUGUUUUGAAAAUCAUGUUGUUACACCCAUGUAAGAAAGCAAUUUUUACAUCCAUCUAAUAGACCUUGAAGUUCUUGAUUGAAGAAAAAGCACGAAACAGUCUAAUUGCCUCAAGUUGAGCAAUGGGAGCAAAAGUUUCAUCAUAGUCCAAACUUUCUAGCUAACAAAAUCUCCGUGCCACCAGUCUAGCCUUGUUUCUUACAACAAUCUCAUCUUUAUCCAUCUUGCUUUUGAAAACUGAACAAGUACUGAUGUUAGUUUUUUUGUUAAGGCUCAGGGACAAAUGUCCGUACGUGAUGACGUUCAAACUCAUUCACUUCGUCUUAUAUGGACUUUCGUCAUAAUUUCGUUCACCCUUUAAUCCAUCAGGUUUCCCAGCCCAAAAACCAACUAUCACCCAUUUGACAGUUUAAGCCCCUAUAUUUAAUUAAUCUAUUUUGGCCACCAAAUUAAUUCCUAAUUAAUUUAUGACUAAUACUAAUUAAAUAAUAUGAUUUUCCUUUUAAUAUAUUAAUAAAUCAUAAUUUCCUCUCUCUCUCCAUAAAUUACCUGGUAAAGUUGCUUUGGUGAAGGCAACCCAAAAGGACCAUGCACAACCUGGUCAAGUUCAUACCAAAUAUAGUUUCGGGCUUAGACACUAAUCCAACAGUCUCCCACUUGGAUAAGUCUGAUAACUAUAUCUCACAUAAGACUUCAGGAUCCGAUUAGCAAUCGUAUCUCUUAUACGUUGUUGUCAACUCUGAUCAAAAUCCUAUCCUUUAGAUAACGGAUCGUAUAAUCCUCUGUUCUAGAUAUCAUGCUGACAAUCACAUGGAACAUAGUCAUACUUAUUAUUCAGCACAUUGUUCCUCGAUCUCCAAUUUGUUUGACAUGGAACCUAGUUGAACACAUCAACUUUGUCCUGACCGAGCCCAGCACAUAACUCAAACCAAAUCAUCAAGUGGCCAGAUAUCGUUUUCAUCCUCUUGGAAUAAAACGAAAAGAUAAACUUCGACUCAUAUGCUUUUAUUAUUCACUGGCUAACUCAUACACAACAAUACGUUCUAUAACAUCAAGUUACUGAUGCGUUUACCCAUUAUCAAUGCACAACCAACCAACAAAUAAUAACCAUAUCUCUAGGUUUAAAGAUUAUAUGAUAUUAUCGUCUUGCGAUCACUCGUGAGAAAUUCCAUGAAGUGAUACCAGCAAGCGCGGGUUUAUUCCAAUGCUCAAAUCAUACUUCAUAAGCACUCAUGAACUUUGCAGCAAACCUUUGUCAUGCCUAAAACCUUUUAGACAAUCUACAAACAAAUUCAUGACAGUCUUCUUUCAUAUCUACUUCCUGAUGGGUUUUGAGCAUUCUAACACUUCCUAAGUGUACAUGCAACCCUAAUAAACCUUGGAUCUAUGUUUGUCUAAGAUACAUGCAAAUAAUUAUUUUUCCAAGGUUCAUAUCCUAACUAGCAUGGCAUGGGGAACAUGAAUCAAAUAAAGCUAGUAGAAAUACUUACCUUGUAGUAGUAGUUCAUUGCUUGGAGUUUUAGAGCCUAGCACCAAUAGUGUGGAUGCCUCAAAUGGAAAUCACAAAUCACCACAAACUUGGAACUUUGAGAGAAUAGUCACUACUAUCUUGAAAUCGGCCCUCACCUCAACAAGUGUCAACUAGUGUAAUUUCAAGAACCAAAGCCUCAUUUAUAUAGUGUGAUGUAUCAGGGUUACUUCCAUGUAAACCCUAAUACCCAUGUCUCUUCAUUUCCAUGAGAUCCAUGGGUUAAAGCUCCAUGGAGUAUCCAUGGACUUUUCCAUGCAAGCCUAGCCCAUUCCAAAUAAGCAUUAGCCCACACUAUAUAAAUAUAGAAGCCCAUAUUUAAUUAGUAAUAUCUUUGAUCUCUAAAUUAAUCCUAGAUUAAUUAUAGAUCAAUACUAAUUAAAUAAUAUGAUCUUAUAUUAAUAUAUUAGAACUUAUAAUAUAUUAAUAAAUCAUAACUUGUACUAUUCUCAAAUAUUAUCCAUAAAUUGUUCGGGUGAAGUGCAACCCAAAUGGACCAUGCCGGGUCGGGUCAAGUACAUACCAAAUAUAGUUAUGGACUUAGACACUAUAUCCAACAGUCUCCCACUUGGAUAAGUCUAGUAACUAUAUUUGCAAGUAUAACUUCAGGAACCGAUCAGCAAUCGUAGCUCUUUAAACUCUGUUGAACUAGAACGCGCCAUUUAGAUAAGUGAUCAUAUAAUCCUCUGUUCUAGAUAUCAGCCGGACAAAUACAUGGAACAUUGUCUUACUUAUUGUCCAGCAGUUUGUUUCCCGAUUUCUGAUUUGUUUGACAAAGAACUUAAUUGAACACAUCAACUUAGUUCUGACCGGGCCCGGUACAUAGGUCAAAACAAAAUCAUCGAGUGGCCCAGAUAUCAGCUUCUAAUCCAAGAAGGAACAGAUAAACUUCGACUCAUAUGUUUGUUCUACCACUCAUUGAAUUACACACAAAAGCACGUUUUAUAACAUCGAGUUACCAAUGCGUUUUCGUACAAUCAAUGCAUAACCAACUCGUAAGUAACAAAUCAUAUCUCUAGGUUUGAAGACUUAUAUGAUAUUACCGUCUCACGAUCACUCGAGAUAAAAUUCCAUGAAGUGAUUCCAGUGAGCGUGGGUUGAGUCCAAUGCUCAGAACUUAUGAGCACUCAUGAUUGUUGUAGCCUUGUCCAACACCUUAGACCUCUGCAACCAAUCAUGACAGUCUUGAUUCAUACCUACUUCCGACAUAUGACCGACUGUGGAGGUUUGAAUAAUAUGAUAUACCAAACAUAAUUAUUCUGGAAGUCAAAACAUGCAAAAGAAAUAUAGUAAAAGAUCGACAAGAGAUAGCAACACUUUACUCAUAAAUAAAACACCUUUUAUUCAUCAUCAAAUGUCAAUUACACUUUACAAAUUUCUGGGUUAUCUAACUACUAAAACUUAUAUCAUCCUUCAGCCCUAUGCUCCGAGCAUGCUGGAGAUGCUUAACCCUACUCAGUCCCUUCGUGAGGGGAUCUGCCGGGUUCUCAUCCGAUGAUACCCUCUUCGCCAUGAGGAGUCCUUCUUCAAUUCGAUGUCUGAUAAAAUGGUAUUUUCUGUCGAUGUGUCUGGAUCUCCCGUGAUCCCUUGGUUCCUUGGCUAAGGCAACCGCACUAUUGCUGUCACAGAAAAUCUCCAUUGGCUCUUUUAUAGCUGGUACAACUCCAAGGUCUCCGAUGAAGUUCUUUAGCCAUAUAGCCUCCUUUGCUGCCUCGCUUGCUGCUAUAUACUCUGAUUCACAAGUGGAAUCAGCCACUGUCUCCUGCUUGGAACUCUUCCAAGAAAUUGCUCCUCCGUUUAGGGUAAAGACCCAGCCUGACUGAGAGCGGAAAUUAUCCCUAUCAGUCUGGAAGCUAGCAUCACUAUACCCUACAACUCUCAAGUCAUCACUCCCACCGAAGGUAAGGACCCAGUCCUUAGUCCUUCGCAGGUACUUGAGGAUAUUCUUUACCGCAGUCCAGUGUUCCUUGCCAGGGUUCGCCUGAUACCUGCUAACCAUGCUCAAAGCAAAGGCUACAUCAGGUCGAGUACACGUCAUAGCAUACAUGAUCGAUCCUACAGCUGAAGCAUAAGGAAGUCGACUCAUUUCUGCUAUCUCAGCCUCAGUACUAGGGCUUUGUGUCUUACUCAAUCUGGCGUUACUCUGAAUGGGUAACUCACCUUUCUUGGAGUUAUGCAUGUUGAAUCUUUUCAACACUUUGUCCAAGUAGGUACUUUGACUAAGUCCAAUUAGUCUUUUACUCCUGUUUCUCAAAAUCUUUAUCCCUAGGAUAUAGGCAGCUUCACCAAGGUCCUUCAUAGCGAAACACUUCCCAAGCCAGGACUUUACUUCCUGCAGGGUUGGGAUGUCAUUUCCUAUGAGUAGUAUGUCAUCCACAUACAGUACCAAAAAACUGACUAUGCUCCCACUAGCCUUGAUAUAGACGCAAGAUUCAUCUUCACUCCUUGAAAAGCCAAAUUCCUUGACUUUCUCAUCAAAGCAAAGAUUCCACCUGCGAGGUGCCUGUUUCAAUCCAUAAAUGGAUUUCUCGAGUUUACACACUCUAUUAGGGUACUCGUUGCUGACAAAACCCUCUGGCUGACUCAUGUAAACAUCUUCAGCCAACUUUCCAUUAAGGAAAGCGGUUUUGACAUCCAUUUGCCAUAUUUCAUAGUCAUGAAAUGCAGCUAUGGCUAACAGAACCCGAAUAGACUUAAUCUUGGCUACUGGAGAAAAGGUCUCAUCAUAGUCCACUCCAGGAAUUUGAGAGAAGCCCUUUGCAACCAGUCUCGCCUUAUAAGUGUGUACUUUACCAUCCAUGUCGGUCUUCUUCUUGAAGACCCAUUUGCACCCUACAGUCUUACGACCUGGUACAUUCUCAACCAAGUUCCAAACUUGAUUGUCAUACAUGGAUUGUAUCUCGCUAUCCAUGGCCUCUUUCCAUUUAGCAGCCUCAGGGCCUGCCAUGGCUUCCAUGUAGCUGUUAGGUUCAUCCAGACCUACUAGUGUCUCAUCACUAAUAAGUGUCUCACCUUCCGCAGUAAUAUGGAAACCAUAGUAAUGCUCAGGUGCAUUCCUAACUCUCGUGGAACGCCUCAGAGGUACAGGCUCAUCAACUGGCUCAACAGGAGUUUCCUCCUCAAGUUGAGGGCUAGUGUUUGAAGUUCCUUCACCGCUUGAUUCUUGAAUUUCUUCAAGAUCAAUUUGCCUCCCACUGUCUCCUUGGCUUAUAAAUUCUCUCUCUCGAAAGACUCCUCUUCUUGCUACAAAGACCACAUUGUCACUAGGUCUGUAGAAGAGGUAACCAAAGGAUCGCUGUGGGUAACCGAUGAAAAUACACCUCUCGCUUCGAGGUUCGAGCUUAUCAUGAGUCUCGCGUCUCACGAAAGCCUCGCAACCCCAAAUCUUGAUGUGGUCUAGUUUAGGUACUUUACCAGUCCACAUCUCGUGAGGAGUUUUGGCAACUUUCUUUGUAGGGACUAGAUUAAGAAUAUGGGCGGCAGUCUCUAAGGCAUACCCCCAGAAUGAGAUUGGUAGCGUAGCUCGACUCAUCAUGGAACGAACCAUAUCCAACAAGGUUCGAUUACGCCUCUCAGCCACACCAUUCAACUGUGGUGUCCUGGGAGGUGUCAAUUGUGAGACUAUCCCACAUUCCCUAAGAUAGUCGAGGAACUCUGAACUAAGAUACUCACCACCUCGAUCGGAUCGAAGCAUCUUAAUGUUCCUGCCCAAUUGAUUCUCGACUUCCUGUUUAAAUUCCUUAAACCUCUCGAAAGUCUCUGACUUAUGCUUGAUUAAGUAGACAUAUCCAUAUCUACUAUAAUCAUCAGUAAAAGUCAAAUAAUAACGAUUAGCAUCCCUUGUGGCAUGUUUGAAUGGUCCACACACAUCCGUGUGUAUAAGGUCCAACAAACCUUCACCCCUCUCACACGAACCUGUGAAGGGUGACUUUGUCAUUUUUCCAAGUAAGCAUGAUUCGCAACUAUCAUCUGACUUUAGGUCAAACGACUCCAAGACUCCAUCCUUUUGGAGUUGGCCUAUGCGUUUCUUGCUUAUAUGUCCAAGACGACAAUGCCAUAAUGAUGCUUUAUCCAAGUUAUUAUUAGUAGAAUCAAUACACAAAACAUUAUUUCCCAAGUUAUCUACAACAGAUACAGCUUCAUACACACCAUCACAAGGUAAUGCUUUAAAAUAAAAGACAUUAUUAUAGAAAACAUCUAUAGAACCAACUUCAUUAUUAAAUGAAAAGGUAAACCCUUGUUUGUACAAAGCAUGAAAGGAAAUAAUAUUUCUUGCCAUUCCUGGCGAAUAACAACACUUAUUCAAAUCUAAACUAAACCCACUACUUAGCGAUAAAGUAUAAACUCCAAUCUUGGUAACAGGUAUAGCUUUCCUAUUCCCCAUGAUCAAGUUUAUCCUUCCUUGCUCCACAUCCUCACUUCUUCUUAGUCCCUGCAAGUCACAACAAAUGUGAAUACCACACCCGGUAUCAAGGACCCAAGAAUUAGAAUGGGGUGAGUUAUUAGAAAUGAUAGUGUAAAUACCUGCAUGGUUGGGUUUAACUUUCCCAUCCUUCACAUCUUGCUGGUAUUUUGGGCAGUUCCGCUUCCAAUGAGCUUUUUCAUGGCAAUAGAAGCAUUCAGCCUCUUUUGGGUCAGAAGAAGGAGUAAUGAAACCUUUCUUGGUUCCACUUGAAGAAGAGCCAUCAAGGGUCCGAGCCUUGGUACCCUUAGAAGAGCUCUUUCUCUUCCUCCCUCGACUUUUCCCGAUUGCCAAAACCGGAGUAGAGUUUUGAGUAGGAGUGAUAGCAACCGACUUCCCCUUAAGACCUGUUUCUGCGGUCUUGAGAAGUCCCUGAAGUUUGCUGAGGGUGACUUCUUCCUUGUUCAUGUGAUAUGUCAUGCGGAAUUGAUCAUAGCACGAUGGUAAGGAAUGCAAAAUAAUAUCUAUUGCAAGAUCCUCCGGGAAGUUCACAUUAAGCUUCAGCAAACGAUCCACAUACCUUUGCAUUUUCUGCAUGUGGCUCGUGACGGAUUCCCCGUCCUUCAUCAUGGUUGUUAUCAUGGAGCAGAUGAUUUCAUACCUCUCUUGUCUUGCACUUUGAUGGUAUCUUUCCAUCAAAUCUUGGUGCAUGUCAUAAGGGUAGAAAUCCUCAUAAGACUUUUGGAGUUCCGCUGUCAUCGUGGCCAUCAUGAUGCAAGCCACUUUCGUAGCAUCCCUUUCAUGUGCCCGAAAUUCAGCGAUCUCCUGAGGAGUUGCAGUGGACUCAUCAAUCUCCUUAAGCUCCUUGUCAAGGACAUAUUCUUUGUCCUCGUAGCGGGUAAUCAUCCUGAUGUUUCUGAUCCACUCAUUGAAGUUGGAUCCAUCAAAGGUGACUUUCCCACACAAGUUCAUAAGGGUAAAGGAGCCAUUAGGAUUAGAGCCAGAAGCAUUGUUGAAAGACAUCUGAAGGAAAGAGGACAAGAUUAGUUUAGAUAUAAGAGAGUCCUUAAUAAAACACCCAAAUGUAAUAUUAAGGCUAGGAUCCAAUCACAAUAUAAUAUAACUUAGAAGAGGUAUGCCGUAAUCUAAGCUAUAUCAUAUUUGAAAGGUAGGUGAAUGACGAUUCACCAAUUUCCACCACGAAAACCGCAAUAUUUUAGUAUUAGGUUUUUGAAUGGUUCUUAGAAAUUCCUAGAUUCUUUGAGAUUCAAUGAACUUUUCAAAGGCAUGUUUCAAUCUCGAGUGUGCCCUCCAAGUUUUGUGACUGGGAUACCGAGGAUCACAAAACGAGGUGUGAAGUAACCAUGCAAAUCACUUGGUACCCUUAAAGUUUAUCACUCAAUCGAUGUGCCGGUUAACCACACACGCUCCAUCGAUACUAUAAUAAACCCUAAGUCACCCUUUACCUACCUUGUUAAGUCCAAGUUAGUGUGCCGGUUAACCACACACGCUCCACCAACGACUUAAUCAAAGUGUAAAGUGUAAUUUCAUGGAAUAGCACCUUAUUCACAUUUUUCCUAAAGUAACUAAGAUUGGGAAUUUAAUAAAACAUUUAGUUACUUUAUAAUAUUCAUCAUACUUUGAAUGAGAAUUAAUAAGUCCUUGUCUUACCCGUUCGGCUAACGACCCUCCACCGAUCAAGCAAGCGGUGGGUGAGAGUGGACACCCAUUAAGUCACCAUUUUAUAGGCAACAACCUUAUACCCACCUUAUAGACCGGCUUCGUGAAUGAGGCGUACUAGCGGUAAGACGACUUUGUUCUUAUACAUAUAUAUAUAAUUAUUAAAUCAUAAUAAUAUAAGUAUAAGGGUUGAAUUUUAACUUUUAAAAUUCUAGGGGUUGGAACUAAAGUUUUAACUUAACUUUACUUGUUCCAAAACUUGAGGGCAAGUUUUGUAAACUUUCAAAACUUUUCAUUUCUUGUAACUUAUGAGUUUAAUAGAGUAAUAAAAUGAGGACUUUUCAUUUUUCCUAACUCUUGUGUUCUUUUAAUGGUUUUUAAUCCAAGAGACUUUUGGUUUUCCAUAACUUGAGGACAAGUUAUGGACUCCAUUAAAACACAUUAUGAUCAUGAAUUAAUCUACCACAUAGGUUACAAAUAAUUCCUAUGAUCAUCUAAACAUCAUAAGAACAAGAAUAUGAAUAUGAACACUUUCAAGAAUCAAAAUCACAUUUAAUCUUUGUAAUUUUGAUAACUAGUUGUUGUAAAUGAGUUAGAAAAGACAUUACACCUUCUAAAAUAAGUUUUCAAGUACCAAAACAUUUUAGGGUAAUGAUUCUAAUCCAUUUCCAGCAACUCAAGUCGAAAUUCUGCACUCUGUCGACCCUACUCGCCGAGUGCAUAAACCUACUCGCCGAGUAGGUUGAAGAUACACAUGAACUCGACGAGUCCUCCCCAUGGACUCGCCGAGUCCAUCAGUCAGACAGCAGAAUUUUCGACUUUCUUCAACUUUUAAGCACAAAUAACAAACAAACAAGCCUAGGCUCUGAUACCACUGAUGGGUUUUGAGCAUUCUAACACUUCCUAAGUGUACAUGCAACCCUAAUAAACCUUGGAUCUAUGUUUGUCUAAGAUACAUGCAAAUAAUUAUUUUUCCAAGGUUCAUAUCCUAACUAGCAUGGCAUGGGGAACAUGAAUCAAAUAAAGCUAGUAGAAAUACUUACCUUGUAGUAGUAGUUGAUUGCUUGGAGUUUUAGAGCCUAGCACCAAUAGUGUGGAUGCCUCAAAUGGAAAUCACAAAUCACCACAAACUUGGAACUUUGAGAGAAUAGUCACUACUAUCUUGAAAUCGGCCCUCUUGCUUUACUCACCUCAACUAGUGUGAUUUCAAGAACCAAAGCCUCCUUUAUAUAGUGUGGUGGAUUAGGGUUACAUCCAUGUAAACCCUAAUACCCAUGUCUCUUCAUUUCCAUGAGAUCCAUGGGUUAAAGCUCCAUGGAGUAUCCAUGGACUUCUCCAUCCAAGCCUAGCCCAUUCCAAAUAAGCAUAAGCCCACACUAUAUAAAUAUAGAAGCCCAUAUUUAAUUAGUAAUAUCUUUGAUCACUAAAUUAAUCCUAGAUUAAUUAUAGAUCACUACUAAUUAAAUAAUAUGAUCUUAUAUUAAUAUAUUAGAACUUAUAAUAUAUUAAUAAAUCAUAACUUGUACUAUUCUCAAAUAUUAUCCAUAAAUUGUUCGGGUGAAGUGCAACCCAAAUGGACCAUGCCGGGUCGGGUCAAGUACAUACCAAAUAUAGUUAUGGACUUAGACACUAUAUCCAACACUUCCAACAUAUGAGCGACUGUGGACUGAUUGAAUAAUCUUAUUAUUCAGGAAGUCAAAACAUGCAAAAUUGAAACAAUAGGUAAAUAAUCAGCACAAGAUAGUAGCUUUACUCAUAAACAAUACACCUUUAUUUAUUCAUCAAAUGUCAAGUACAAAUUAUCUAUUACACAUUUCCUAUUUAUCUAAUUUAAACUUAUAUCGUCCUUCACCCUAUGUUCCUCGCAUGCCGCAAGUGCUUAACCCUACUAAGUCCCUUUGUAAGGGGAUCUGCUGGGUUAUCUUCUGACGAUACCCUCUACACCACGAGGGGUCCAGCUUCUACCCGAUGUCUAAUGAAGUGAUAUUUUAUGUCGAUAUGUCUGGAUCUGCCGUGAUCCCUUAGUUCCUUGGUCAAGGCAACCGCACCUUCAUUAUCACAGAAAAUCUCCAUAGGCUCCUUUAUGGAUGAAAAAACUCCAAGGUCUCCACUAAAGUUAUUCAACCAUAUUGCCUCCUUUGAUGCUUCACUUUCCGUAAUGUAUUCUGAUUCGCACGUUGAAUAAGCUAUCGUCUCUUGCUUGGAACUUUUCCAACUCACUGCUCCUCCGUUAAGGCUAAAGACCUAGCCAGGCUGCGAUCGGUAAUUAUCCCGAUCAGUCUGAAGACUAGCGUCACUGUAUCCUCGUACCCUUAAGUCAUCACUCCCACCGAGGACUAGAAACCAUUCCUUGGUCCUCCGAAGGUACUUAUGAAUAUUCUUAACUGCAGUCCAAUGAGCUCUACCAGGGUUUCCCUGAUAUCUGCUCACCAUGGUUAAAGUGAAGGCCACAUCAGGGCGAGUACAAGUCAUAGCGUACAUGAUUGAGCCAACUGCGGAAGCGUAAGGUAGUCGACUUAUCUCUGCUAUCUAUGCCUUUGUACUUGGGCUCUGAGUCUUACUCAGCUUGGUAUUGCUUUGGACUGGCAAUUCCCCUUUCUUGGAAUUUACCUUCCUAAAACGUUUUAGUACCUUAUCCAAGUAUGUAUCCUGACUGAGUCCUAUCAGUCUUUUACUCCUGUUUCUUACUAUCCUUAUUCCCAGAAUAUACGCAGCUUCUCCGAGGUCCUUCAUAGCAAAGCACUUCCCAUGCCAGGACUUGAAUUCCUGCAAGGGUGGGAUGUUGUUUUCCUAUGACAGGAGUUGGGACACGUAUUUGCCCUUGGCUGAGUUUUCCUAUAACAACAGCGAUCACUCACACAUUGGUAUGCCACCUUUUGAGCUGUUGUAUGGAAGGAUGUGUCGUACCCCCAUUUGCUGGGGCGAGGUAGGACAGCAUGUGAUGGGUAGUAUAGAGAUAGUGCUUCAGACGACGGAGCAGAUACAACAGGUUAGACAGAGGUUGACGACCACUCAGAGUCGCCAGAAAAGUUAUGCAGAUAGGCGACGAUCCGAACUUGAGUUCCAGGUCGGUGAUUUUGUGCUCCUGAAGGUAUCUCCUUGGAAAGGAGUGAUCCGAUUCAGGAAGAGGGGCAAGCUGGGACCCUAGUAUAUUGGGCCGUUUAGAGUGAUGGUGAGGGUGGGCAAGGUAGCAUAUCUCUUGGAGCUACCUGCGGAGUUGGACCAGAUUCAUGAUACCUUCCACGUGUCGCAGCUGAGGAAGUGUAUUGUCGAUGAGUCGACAGUGGUACCCUUAGAGGAUAUCCAGGUGGGCGCAAGUCUAAAUUAUGCUGAGAAGCCGAUCGCAAGCUUGGAUUGGAGGAUCAAGGUUCUGAGGAACAAGGAAGUGCCCCUGGUUCAGGUCCAGUGGUAACAUCAGAGAGGGUCUGAGCUGACCUGGGAGCCAGAGUCAGAGAUGCGGGAGCAGCAUUCGAAGUUGUUCGUAGCAUGAGACUUCAAGGGCGAAGUCUGGUUUUAGUGGGGGAGAAUUGUAACAGCCCAAAAUCCAGGUAAGCUUAUGACCCCUUUUAUUUUGGAGAGUUGGCAUAUUAGUCCCUCAAAGUUGUAUGCUGGAUUAGUGAGUAUGCUGGGCGUACUGAAGUGUACGCUGCGCGUACUCACGCACUUAAAUUGGACGCGGACUCGCCCGGGUACGUUGGGCGUACCUAGGGUUACGUUAGGCGUAGCGAGCCCAGAUGCAAACCCUAAUUCCUGGCUUUUGCACUAUAAAAGGAACAUGUAGUCCCUUGCCCUAGCCAUCAUAUCCCCUUGAGUGAGUCCUUUGAGAGCUGAGAUUCGUGCUUUAGCUUGUGUGUGUGUUUUUGAGCUUGAAGUUAUCAUUUCAAGGUGAAGAAGGAGAAGAAGGAGCCAUUGUUGGAGCUAGAAGUUGAAAAACAAGUGUAGAUCCGAGUUCUACAGUGGUUGGAGAUCCUUUCUGAGGUAAAAAGCUCAAAUCUUUCCUUGUUCUUCAUAAGUUUUGCUUUUUGGACAAUUUUAGGGUUUUUGGUUCAAAGUUGGAGACUUUAUGUGCAAAGAGUCUCCAUAAGCUUAGAUCUAACCUUUUCUAGUGUAAAAUGUGUUGAGGAGUCAUAAAAAUCUAGUCUUGGACAUGGAUCUUGUGUCAUGCAUGAGUUAUAGUCUCAUUAUGGAAAGAGGAAAGGUGUUUUGAGCACAAAGUGACCUUUACACCAAUGCAAAGGCUUAAAGGUUUCAACUUUAUGGAUUAAGUCACAUUAAAGGAGUCAAAUAUGAAGUUUGGAUGUAAGUCUUAACUGAUUAAGACCUGAAUGAGAUGGAUAAUGAAAUUGGGCAUUACGCUGGGCGUAAUCCCAGUAUGCGCAGCGUAUGCAGCUGUGCACCCCGUUUCUGUGAAGACUCUGGGUAUGCCUAACGUACACGUUUGGUACGCGCAGCGUAACCCGGGGGUGACUUUUGUUGACUUUUAGGGUUGGUCAAUUUUAGUGUAACUGAGCCAAGUAAGGGGUAAAAUGGUCUUUUACCUUCCUGGGAGUGAUUAGAGGGAAUGGUCUAGCCUAGGAAAAUGUGUUGAUGUUGAGUGUUGUUACAUAUGAUUAGGCAGAGGCUAGAUCUUAUCCCACGGAGUCCGAGAUUUCUGAGAUUUACGAGUUAGCGAGCUACACGUGGUGAGUCUUCUCACUAUACGUUACCUAGAGUGGUAUUUAUGUGGACCGGAGAGUCUUAUGUGUUAUGUAUGAGAUUAUGUGAAUCUAUGUGCUAUGUGAUAUUUGCAUGUUAUAUGAUUGUAUAGACCGGACUGUAAGCUCCAAUGAUACAGACCGAACCAGAGGGUCCAACGAUUCAGACCGGGCUGGAGGGCCCAACGAGCUAUGGGACUGGAGGGUCCCGCUGAGACACAUCGACCGGAGGGUCGUACUGUACCCUCGAGUGGCGUAUGUGUUGUAUAUGGUAUUUUGAGGAACACACUAAGCAAUUAUGCUUAUAGUCGUUGUGUUAUGUGUUUCAGGUACUAGCGAGGACCGUGGGAAGGUGCCGGUGUGACUCGUACACACUAAAGGAGGGAUUUGUUUUUGUGAUCUUGGGAUAUGUUAUGUUUUGAUAACUAUGGUUGAAUACUUUUGAGAAUAUUUUUAUAUAAAUUUGGUUGUUGAAAAAUGAAAAUUUGUUUUGAAAAUCAUGUUGUUACACCCAUGUAAGAAAGCAAUUUUUACAUCCAUCUAAUAGACCUUGAAGUUCUUGAUUGAAGAAAAAGCACGAAACAGUCUAAUUGCCUCAAGUUGAGCAAUGGGAGCAAAAGUUUCAUCAUAGUCCAAACCUUCUAGCUAACAAAAUCUCCGUGCCACCAGUCUAGCCUUGUUUCUUACAACAAUCUCAUCUUUAUCCAUCUUGGUUUUGAAAACUGAACAAGUACUGAUGUUAGUUUUUUGUUAAGGCUCAGGGACAAAUGUUCGUACGUGAUGACGUUCAAACUCAUUCACUUCGUCUUAUAUGGACUUUCGUCAUAAUUUCGUUCACCCUUUAAUCCAUCAGGUUUCCCAGCCCAAAAACCAACUAUCACCCAUUUGACAGUUUAAGCCCCUAUAUUUAAUUAAUCUAUUUUGGCCACCAAAUUAAUUCCUAAUUAAUUUAUGACUAAUACUAAUUAAAUAAUAUGAUUUUCCUUUUAAUAUAUUAAUAAAUCAUAAUUUCCUCUCUCUCUCCAUAAAUUACCUGGUAAAGUUGCUUUGGAGAAGGCAACCCAAAAGGACCAUGCACAACCUGGUCAAGUUCAUACCAAAUAUAGUUUCGGGCUUAGACACUAAUCCAACAGUCUCCCACUUGGAUAAGUCUGAUAACUAUAUCUCACAUAAGACUUCAGGAUCCGAUUAGCAAUCGUAUCUCUUAUACGUUGUUGUCAACUCUGAUCAAAAUCCUAUCCUUUAGAUAACGGAUCGUAUAAUCCUCUGUUCUAGAUAUCAUGCUGACAAUCACAUGGAACAUAGUCAUACUUAUUAUUCAGCACAUUGUUCCUCGAUCUCCAAUUUGUUUGACAUGGAACCUAGUUGAACACAUCAACUUUGUCCUGACCGAGCCCAACACAUAACUCAAACCAAAUCAUCAAGUGGCCAGAUAUCGUUUUCAUCCUCUUGGAAUAAAACGAAAAGAUAAACUUCGACUCAUAUGCUUUUAUUAUUCACUGGCUAACUCAUACACAACAAUACGUUCUAUAACAUCAAGUUACUGAUGCGUUUACCCAUUAUCAAUGCACAACCAACCAACAAAUAAUAACCAUAUCUCUAGGUUUAAAGAUUAUAUGAUAUUAUCGUCUUGCGAUCACUCGUGAGAAAUUCCAUGAAGUGAUACCAGCAAGCGCGUGUUUAUUCCAAUGCUCAAAUCAUACUUCAUAAGCACUCAUGAACUUUGCAGCAAACCUUUGUCAUGCCUAAAACCUUUUAGACAAUCUACAAACAAAUUCAUGACAGUCUUCUUUCAUAUCUACUUCCUGAUGGGUUUUGAGCAUUCUAACACUUCCAUCUGCGAGACGCUUGCUUCAAUCCAUAGAUGGAUUUCUCAAGCUUGCACACUCUAUUGGGGUGCUUCACAUCGACAAAAUCCUCUGGUUGUUUCAUGUAAACAUCCUCAGCUAACUUCCCAUUAAGGAAAGCAGUUUUAACGUCCAUCUGCGAUAUUUCAUAGUCAUGAAACGUAGAUAUUGCGAGCAUCACCCUAAUAGACUUUAUUUUCGCGACUGGUGAAAAGGUCUCAUCAUAGUCAACUCCUGGAGUUUGUGUAAAUCCCUUCGCAACCAAUCGUGCUUUAUAAGUGUGUACUUUCCCAUCCAUGUCCAUCUUCUUCUUAAAGAUCCAUUCGCACCCGACCGUCUUACGACCUGGUACAUUAUCAACCAAAUUCCAAACUUAGUUGUCGUACAUAGACUGAAUCUCACUAUCCAUUGCUUCUUUCCAUUUAGCAGACUCCGGGCCUGCCAUGGCUUCCUUGUAGUUGCUAGGUUCGUCCAAAUUUACUAGUGUACUAUCACUAAUAAAUGUAUCCCCUUCAGUAGUAAUAUGGAAUCCAUAAAACCGGGGUGGAACACUAGCCCUACUUGAAUGUCUAAGAGGUAAUGACUCGUCAACAGGUUCAACAGGAGAUUCCUACUCAGGUUGAUCGCCAGUGUUAGAGGUUCCUUCAUCACUCGACUCUUGAAGCUCUUCAAGAUCGAUUUUCCUUCCGCUGUCCCCUUGGCCUAUGAGUUCUCUCUCUAGGAAAACCCCUCUCCUUGCAACGAAGACAACAUUGUCACUCAGUCUAUAGAAGAGAUAUCCGAAGGACGUUUGCGGGUAGCCGAUGAAAAUACAUCACUCAUUACGAGGUUCGAGCUUGUCGUGAGUCUCUCGUCUUACGAAAGCCUUGCAACCACAGACCUUGAUAUGUGCCAACGAGGGAGCUUUCCCUGUCCACAUCUCGUGAGGUGUUUUGGUAACCUUCUUCGUGGGAACUAGGUUAAGGAUAUGGGCAGCAGUCUCUAAGGCACACCCCUAUAAAGCUAUUGGUAACGAAUUCCGACUCAUCAUAGAAUGAACCAUGUCCAACAAGGUCCGAUUACGUCUCUCAGCCACACCGUUCAGUUGUAGCGUCCUAGGAGGCGUCAAUUGCGAAACAAUUCCGCAUCCCUUUAGAUAGUCGUGAAACUCAAGACCUAGGUACUCUCCUCCUCGAUCAGAUCGAAGCAUCUUGAUUUUCCUGCCCAGCUGAUUCUCCACUUCAUUCUUAAACUCUUUGAACUUUUCAAAGGUUUCUGACUUUUGCUUUAUUAAGUAGAUAUAUUCAUAUUUGCUAUAAUCAUCUGUAUAAGUCAUGUAGAAGUGGAAAGCAUCCCUUGUGGUGGAUCUAAAGGGACCACAAACAUUUGUGUGUAUGAGAUCCAAUAGACCCUCACCCCUUGAACAAGUGCCAGUAAAGGGUGACUUGGUAAUCUUCCCAAGUAAACAAGACUCACACGUGUCAUUGUCCCUAAGGUCGAAUGACUCCAACACUCCAUCCUUUUGGAGUUGGGCUAUGCGUUUCUUGUUGACAUGGCCAAGGCAACAAUGCCACAAGCAUGAUUUGUCCAAACUAUUGGACGUAUCAAUAUUUAACACAAAAUUUCCUAAGUUGUACACAACCAACACAGAUUCAUAUAUUCCAUUACAAGGUAGUGCAUUAAAAUAGAAAACACCAUCAAGAGAAACAUUAAUAGAACCAUUACUAUUAUCAAAUGAAUAUCGAAACCCUUGUCUAUAUAAUCCAUGAAAAGAAAUGAUGUUCGUUGCCAUGUCUGGCGAAUAGCAACAAUUAUUUAAAUCUAAACCUAACCCAUUACUCAACACUAAGGAAUAAACUCCAAUCUUGGUAACUGGUGACGAUCUUCUGUUUCCCAUGACCAAGUUUAUCCUUCCAUGCUCCACUUCCCUACCUUUUCGCAGGCCCUACAAAUCAGAACAAAUGUGGAAACCACAUCCAGUAUCAAGAACCCAUGAAGUAGCAAGUGAUGAGUUAUUAGAUUUAAUUGAAUACAUACCUGCGAAGGUGGGCUUUAUCUUCCCAUCCUUAAUAUCUUGCAAAUAUUUUGGGCAACUUCAUUUCCAUUGGCCCUUAGAUCUCAUGGCAGUAAAAGCACUCUGCAUCCUUAGGGACAGAAGAUGGUUUAACGGAACCAACUUUGGUCCCACUAGAAGAGGAACCAUCUUGGGACUUCCCCUUUUGGUGGCUCUUAGAAGGAGCCUUCCUCUUCUUACCCUUUCCCUGCCCAAUUGCUAAUAUAGGGGCCGAUUCAGUAGGAAUAGAUGCAACAAAUUUAUCCUUUAGGUUCCUCUCAGCAGUUCUCAACAACCCUUGAAGCUUGCUCAAAGUGACCUCCUCUUUGUUCAUGUGGUAGGUCAUUCUGAACUAGUUGUAGCACGAAGGCAAGGAGUGGAGGAUGAUUUCGAUAGACAAAUCCUCAUCAAAGUUAACAUUUAACUUUAGAAGAUGAUCAACAUACCUCUGCAUCUUCUGCAGAUGCGAGGUUAGGGAUUCUCCACUCCCCAUCCUAGCGGUGAUCAUGUUAGUGAUGAUCUCAUAACGCUCUUGCUUCGCGCUUUGGUGGUACCUAUCCAUUAAAUCUUGAUGCAUCUCGCAUGGAUACAUGUCCUCGUAGGACUUUUGGAGUUCUGCAUUCAUAGUCGCGAGCAUGAUGCAAUGAACCUUCAUAGCAUCACGCUCAUGUGCCUCAAAGGCAACAAUUUCUUCAGGGGUGGCAAUGUAUGGAUUGAUCUUUUCAAGCUUCUCGUCGAGGACAUACUCCUUGUCCUCGUAGCGAGUGAUCAUCCGAAUGUUUCAGAUCCACUCGUUGAAGUUGUUGCCAUUAAAGAUCACUUUCCCACACAAAUUCCUGAGUGAGAAUCACCAUUAGCCGCAGGAGCGUUGUUCUUGUUUGCGUUAGACAUCUGAAAAUAGAAAGGGACAAGUUUGAUUAGAAUGAAUCCCCAAUUAAUCACUGAAAUGAGAAAUUAGGGUUAGGAUCCAACAACAUUAUUUACAACUUAGAAAAGGGAUAUCGUAAUCUAAAAGCAAAUAAUUUGAAGGUAAGUGAAUGACGAUUCACUAAUUUUCCACUAUGAAAAACAAAAGAAGAUUAUGUUUUAAAUGUUUUAUGAAAAACUCCUAGAUCUUUGAGAUUCAUUUAACUUUUCAAUGGCAUGUCUCAAUCUCGAUGUGCCCUUCAAGUUUGUGACUAGGAUACCGAGGAUCACAAACAAGGUGUGAAUAACCAUGUGAAUCAACAUGGUGCACUCAAUGUCACUAUCACCUAAUCAAUACGCCGGUUAGCCACACACAUUCCAUUGAUCUAUGAUAAACAUUGAGCCACCCGUUGCAACCAAUGUCAACCCCAAAUUAGUGUGUCGGUUAACCACACACGCUCAACUAACGUUUGACAAGGGUACGAAGCGUAAUUCCAUGGAAUAACGUCAUUUUCACAUUUUACAAUAAAGUAACUAAGAUUGGGAAUUUGAAAAACAUUUAGUUACUUGUAAUAUUCAUUAUACUUAUAAUGAGGAAUUAAAUGCCCUAUCAUAUCCGUUCGGCUAACGACCUUCCAUCAAUCAAGGAAGCGGUGGCUGAGAGUGGACACCCAUUAAGCGCCAUUUUAUAGGCAGCAACCUUAUACCCCCCUUAUAGACCGGCUUCGUGAAUGAGGCCUACUAGCGAUAAAAGUAGCUUAUUCUUAUACAUAUACAUAUAUAUAUAUAUAUAUAUAUAUAUAUAUAUAUAUAUAUAUAUUUAUAUUAUAAUAAAUAAAAUAUAAGUUUAANAGGUUAAAUUUUAAACUUGUAAAAUUCUAAGGGUUUGAAAUUUAAAUAAUUCAAAAUUAAACUUUUAAUCAAAAAUUUAAAUUCCAAAAGUUGAGGACAAGUUUUGAACUUUUCAAAACACAAAGGAUCAAAUAACAAAUAAUAUAAAUUAAACAAUUAAUUUUGUGAUUAUCUAUAUAUGACCUAAUCCAAUGUUAUUCAUAAGAUAAUUACCAAAUAAUUUAAACAAUCAACAUUUAUCAUAUAAAGAAACUAUUAUUCAAAUGAUUUGAAAUUAUCUUUUGUUUUGGUAAGGAUAAUCAUUUAAACACAAUAAAAUUCGGAUUUUAUCAUUAAAAAACAGCUUUGGCAUUUAUCCUUUAGCAAAACAACAAUAAAUCCCGAAAAUCUUUUUGUCUGACAGCUAAACUCGCCGAGUCUACCUUGGAACUCGUCGAGUUCAACCUGCUCGUCGAGUUCCUCAUGGAACUCGUCGAGUUCAUCAGGCAGUUAGCAAUAAAAAACGAUUUGAAAGCUUGAACAAAUAAACUAGGCAUCAAUACAAUAGAAACCAAACCAGUCUCUGAUAACACUAAUGGGUUUUACACACAAGAACUUUCCUAUGUGCUCAUGCAAACCCUAAUGUUUGGAUCUAGGUUUCUCUAUUGUACAUGCAUUGUAUCCAAGACUUACAAACCCUAAUCUAGCAUACAUAUUUCGAAAAUAUCAAGAUAUACCAGAUCUAGAUGUUUACCUCUUGAAAAAUCUUGGAUCUUCUUCUUCUUGGAGCUUAGAGUCACAAGUGUAACUCCUCUAAUGGCUUACAAACACCACACAAGCAAGAAGUCAAUAUGAGAGAGGGAAGAGAUGCUAAAAAUCGGCCCUAGGGUUUCCUUGGAAUCAAGUGGCUGAAAAUUGCAUGUAGGGGUCUCUAUUUAUACUGUAGGUUGCUAGGGUUUCAGUCAAAAACCCUAAUGGACAGCUUAAUCACCAAGCAGCCCAUGGAACCUUCUGGAAUAAGGCCUAUGGAUGAAAUUAUGAUUUCAAUAAUAAUUUCGUUCAACCUUUAAUCCAUUAGGUUUCCCAACCCAAAAACCAACUAUCACACAUUUGAUAGUUUAAGCCCCUAUAUUUAAUUAAUCUCUUUUGGCCACCAAAUUAAUUCCUAUUUAAUUUAUGACUAAUAUUAAUUAAAUAAUAUGAUUUCCCUUUUAAUAUAUUAAUCACAUAAUAUAUUAAAAAAUCAUAAUUUCCUCUCUCUCCAUAAAUUACCUUGUCAAGUUGCUUUGGUGAAGGCAACCCAAAAGGACCAUGCACAACCGGUUCAAGUUCAUACCAAAUGUAGUUUCGGGCUUAGACACUAAUCCAACAAGUUAUCGAUUCAGUUGAUGAUGCAGAGGUAUGUUAGAAAUAGCAACCUACUUUGAUUUCUUCCUUUUACAUCAUUGUCCUUUAAAGUACAUUGCAUGUAUAAGAAACAUUGAAACUAUUUCUUACAUUCAGCCCAAUACAAUUUUUGUUUUUGUGUCAGGUGAAAGUGGGAGGACAGGUGCAAAAUAAAGGGUAGGCAAUAGAAAGAAAUGAAAGUAAGUGUUGUGUGAUGUUGUAAUAGAAAGAAAUGAAAAUGAGAUGCCAUAAUAAUCAAAUAAAUGAAAUUAUAUUGCUAUUUCUUACAUUUAGCCCAAUAACAUUGUACAUUUGGCUCAACCCUUCCUAACCAUACAAUUGAAACAACAAGAUUCUAAUAGAAAGAAAUGGAAGUAUGACGCUAUAAUAACAUAUAAAUGAAAGUACAUUGAUAUUGAUUGCAUUAAUCUUAACAACAUUAUAUAUGGUGGACAUUUGAAAGUGUUGACAAAGACAAUAACACAUUGUUUGAAGAAGUGAGGAUCAUGGUUUUAAAAUAAAAGGUGGAGCAGUUGGAAAAAAAAAUCCUACACUCAAUGUGAAAAGCACUCCUUAAUGCCAUGAGAGGUUAAACUUUCUGCACAUAUAAUAUCUAUAUUACUUUGUAUCUGUCUGCAUUAGCCCGUUAUAAAUGUCCUAUAAUUUUUGUAUUAUUUUUUUGUUUGCAUUUUUUAGAAAAUUUGUAGCCUUUAUUAUAUUUUGAUUGGACAAUCGGAGACACCUAAGAGAUGUAUAUUUUUAGUGGCUUUUUUCUUAUACUAAAUGACAAAUGAAGGAAAGAUAGUAAAAAGAUAAUUCAAGUUGAAGGAGGGUUGGUAGUAAAGGAGUAAACAUUUGGUUAUGAUUGCAUAUUUUAGGGUAUAUUGGAAAAAUUAGCUAUAAUAAGGGAAUAAAAUGUUAAAAUAACCUCAAAUAAGGACCAAAAUUGUAAGAUGGAAAAAUAAGCUCUAAUCAUUGGUCUCUAUUCAAACUAAAGGAGUAACACAGGUCCUAUUCAAAGUAAAAUAUGUAUAGUUUUAGGACAAAAAUUGGAAAAAUCAGCUAUGAUCGGGGAUUAAAAUAGUCAUUUCGCUUGGAACAAUGACACAACAUGUUACAAUAACGGCCUAUAUGUAUAGUUUUAUGGUACACACUUUUGCGUAUCAUAAAUCACUGUGUGUCAUAGUUUGCGCGUCAUUAAAGGCCUAUAUUCUAGAAGUGAACCUCAAAUAAGGACCAAGAAUGCAAAGAUAAAAACUUUCUGGGACCAAAAUUGAAAAACAUAUAUACUCAUGGAUCAAAAUAUAAUUAAAUCAUAAUCUUAUGUUUCUUUUCUUCAGCAGGGUGUUAAGAUAAAUGAUCCACAAGCGUUUAAUGACCAAGAGGUGGAGGUUUGGUCGCGUGUUGUGUGGAAGCCAAAAUGGGCAGUUACAUUUUUGAUGUUAAAAGGAAAUCGAUGGAAACAACAACUAUGUUUUUCAAAAAUCUAAUUUGGGCAUUAGAGGUCGUAUUGUUCUUAUUGAAGAUGUGUCACUUGAUGGAACUUAGUUAUCAGUUCACUUGAUGAUUUCGAGUUAUGUUAGAAAUAGCAAUGUACUCUCAUUUACCCCAACCUAACCUAUUUAAUGAGCAGGUUGAACCUGAGUUGAUCUAUUCAAAUUUCCAAUAAUAUAUCCUUGAAAAUCAACUAAUCCUUCAAACACAAUUACAUAAAACUUAAAAACUCCGAUAAUUGUUCACGUUUGAAAAUAAUACAACGAUAAGUCUCUAGUAGAAACACAAAUAAAGUGUUUACAACCAUAAAAACAUUAUACACGUUUAAUCUUUAAAUGCUAGACAGCUCAACUUUCAAUAAUGAUCACCAAUCCACAUUUUUUGAGUAGAUAAUAUUAAAAAAAUUUAAGCGGGUUCGCUAGCUGUAAGCAGAUUGAGAAUUUUAACCCUAACAUAGCCCAUUUAAUUAAAUAUAUUAGAUGGGUUAAGCCGUUUAGUUAAACGUGUUAAAGAUCUCAACCAAACCAGCUAAUUACCAACCCUAAAUAAAGGGUGGAUGAUUGAAAGUGUUGAUAAAAACAAAAGUCUGUUACCUAAAGAAAUGAAGAUUGGGGAUUUCAAAAUUAAUAUAAAUGGAGCAAUUGGAAACAUCUUAUAGUGAACCUAGGAAGCAUUCCUUGAAGCCAUGAGGUUAAACUUUUUGUAUAUUUGAUUCUAACCAUAUGGUGCUAAUAUGACGUUCAUGUGGAUUUUCUCUUUUAUUUAAUUCUUAUUUUAUUAAACGUUAAAUUUAUUUUAAUAUAAAAGAAUAAUUAAUAUGUAUAUUUUUAUGUAUUGAAAACCUUAGAGUGAUAUUAUGGGCAAAAAGUGCAAGUUCAAACGGUACCUAUUACCUUUUAUUCUCAACCUUUUCUUUCUAAAAAACUUGUUCAUCUAUAGUCAUCUUUGGGUCAUGCGUUGCAGAUGCAAUAGAGGCCGUUUGUUGCAAAUACAAUAGAGAACUCAAUAAUAGAAAUGAUAAACUAGAGUAAAUUAAGCUUUCAAUUUCCAUUUAUAACUUUUUUUUUUUGGGGNNNNNNNNNNNNNNNNNNNNNNNNNNNNNNNNNNNNNNNNNNNNGGGGGGAGGGAGGGGGAGGGGUGAAAUUUUCGGUUGCUCAUUUAUUUCGGAAUCAUUGAUGCAGAAAACCGAUGCUAAUCAUGUUUUCCAUUGCGAAAUAUAAUGGAAGUGCCAAAGUAUGAUAUCUAAUGGAUUUACCAUUACACCGUUACUAAACAGGUUGUUCGUUUCAAACAAAAUUGAUUUGUAUCAAACUAUUUUUUUUCCACAAUGGUCCGGUUCGGUUUCCAAUUUUUUUAGUGUGCCUCUAAUUUUCAUUGUGUUUUUUUAUGCUAGAAUGUAUGAUUUUUUUAGGAUAUAUUAUUUCAUACAAAACAGGGAAAAUGGCCACCCAUGGUGUUGGUGGCAAAUAUAUUGAUAUGGGGGAUUUAAAAACUCCAACCAAAUUACAUUACAUUACAUACUGGAAAAUAAGAAAUCAAAAAUAAAAACUAGAUGACAAACUACGUGUGUCUAGCCUUUUGCAAACUUGAAACGAACACAACCACUUUCACAUAAACCCAAUCUUUGAAGCUGUCAUAAAAUUGAAAAAAUGCACGUCUCCCUCGACGGUUGAGAAGUAAAGCGCCACAUGCUAUCCAAAAUCCAGUAGCAAAACCAAUGCCCACACCAGUAUAAAACCAUCCCCAGAGUUCAUCAUUUGUGUCUUCCCCAUCACCCUCACCUUUACCAAUAAGAGGUGGUACUUUUGAUUCUUCAUCUAGAGGACAACUUUUGGUAAGAGGAGGUCCACAUAGACAUGCAUUUCCAUUGUAUCUUGAUGGUUGAAAGGAUUGGAGUUGAGUGCUGGUUGGGAUUCUUCCAGACAAGUUAUUAAAUGACAAAUCUAGGUCAUUCAAUAAACUCAUCUGAGACAUGCUUGAUGGUAUCCUCCCUGAUAAAUUGUUUCUGGAUAAAUCCACCGUUAGAAGCUUUUUCAUCUCACCAAUAUGCUGUGGAAUCUCUCCAGAUAGAGCAUUCAUUGAAAAAUUCAGGGCAAUCAAAUCUGAAAGAUUGGUAAUUUGAUAUGGGAUUUGUCCUGUUAAGUUGUUGCUUGACAGGUCAAUGCUCUUCACCAAUUUCAGAGUACUUAAGAAUUCAUGUUCACCUCCUUGCCACUGAAUCAUUGCAUGGUCAACAUAUAUCCCUGAUGCAUAUACAAUAUUGUUUAUACUUGUUUGAAAGUAUACAUCUUGUAAGAUUCCUCCUUGGUGAACCAUGCUCGUAAGAUUACUCAAACAUGAGGGGAUGGUUCCAUGAAGAUUGUUCAUCGACAGGUCUACAAUUUGAAGAUUACCUAACUGACAUAACUGUAAAGGGAUGGUUCCAAUGAAGUUGUUUGAUCUUAGGAUAAGAACAUACAAACCUGAUAAGUUUUCCCCAAUCCAGACAGGCACAUUACCAGAAACUUGUUGGCCCUCAAAUUCAACGAGAUUAAACCCGUGCAAUUUUUUAAGGACAAAGGCAAUUCUCCAGAGAAGUUGUUCUUGAAUAAAUACAACACCUGGAGUUGUAUCAAAGAUCCAACAGAGGGAGGAAUCCGUCAAAGAGAUUGNAUUAAGAACUUGUAGUCCUUUGAAACGCCACAAACAGUCCGGGAGUUGUCCGAUUAAUGAGUUAUGAGAGAGGUCAAGAAAUGAUAAGAACCCAUCAACAAUUUGGCAUACAAAUGAGAUUCCCCCAAAAAAUUUGUUUCUGGAAAGAUUUAAUAAGAACAAGGUGGAAGGAACAUUCGGUAUUGGACCAUAAAAGUUGUUGGAACUCAAAUCUAUCUCUGAAUAUUUGGCAAAAUUUGAUGAUAAAUCUGGUACUUUCCCGCUAAUGUUGUUGGAAGAGAGAUUCAGAUAUUCUAAUUGAGAAGGCCACAUGUCCCAGAACUCCAGAGGAGUUGUGUCUGAAAUUCCAGUAUUGGAAAUGCCAAGAAAGGUAAGAUUUUUGUGUGUCUGAAUCCAUUUGGGGAAGAGAGGCCCUACCUUGCAAGACCUCAGAUCAAGAUACUGAAUAUAAGAGAUGUUUGACAAGUGAUCUGGGGAAGGAACUGUAAGAUUAUUAGAAGAAAGGUAAAUAGUUCGGAGCCUGGGUAGUUCCCACAGUUUCUCACUUAUACUUCCAUUUAACUGAUUAUCAGAUAGGUACAGAGAUUCUAGGGAUGCAAACUUCUGGAUCACAUCGGACAGUGGCCCUGUAAAUUGGCUUCCUUGAGCAGACAACUUUUGUAAUGAAAGGGAUGUGCAUCCAGACAAGUUGUUGAGAAAAUCAGGAAAUUUGACAGCAGCAGAGUUGUAGAAGGAUAAAGUUUCCAGACUACAGAGGUUACCAAGAUAUUUGGGUAUCCCAUCUAACAUAUUAUCAGAGAGAUAAAGUCCAUUAAGCUUAUUGCUGGUUAAUGGGAGCAACCAACGAUACAUGGAUGAUGUGAGAUUGUUGUCACUGAGAUAAAGGGUAUGAAUAGAUGAAGAAGAAGAAGAGUUGAGAAAAGAAGAAUAUGGAUACAUAACCUGUGACAGCUCACAUCUCCCUAAACUUAAACGCAACAGUUUUGGGAGACUCGAAAUUACACCUACCCAAUUAUUUGCAUUCGCAAGGGAAAUCCCAUCCAUUCUCAGAUCCUCCAAAUGAGAGAGAUGAGACAACCACUCCAUGUUUUCAACUCUACAACUUCCAACAGAAUCAAGAUAAAGGUAUUGCAAGUUGGUGAGGUUUCCAAAGUGUGAAGGAAUGGUUCCAUAAAGAGAGUUACUGGAAAAGGAAAGGUGCCUUAACUGGGUCAAGUAACCAAUGGACCUGGGAAUAGCUCCAUGAAAAGAAUUGUAGGAAAGGGAAAGGUACCUUAAUCGAGUCAAGAACCAAUGAAAGUGGGAAUGGUUCCAUGAAAUGAAUUGUCAGAAAGAUCAAGAAGAUUCAAGUAGGUUAAGUUAAGCAAGGAAUGGCUAAUCUCACCUCCAAGACCAUCCUGUGAAAAGAAGUUGUUGAGUUCAAGCUUUGUGACAUGACCAGUUUGGUUGCUGCACUCAACUCCACUCCAUUUACAGCAGUCAUGUUGGUCAGAUCUCCAUGUAGAGAGAGUAUCAUAAGUGUCGUGAAGGGGAGCUUUGAAGAGAAGGAGCGCAAGUCUCUCAUUAUCCAAACACUUUUUCAUAUUAACACGAUUUCUAUCAUCUCCUCCUUCUCCCACUGCUACCAAUUGGCUGGUAGUUGCAGUCACAAGGAGUACCAAGAAAAGUGAGAAAACUAUAGAAGCACAAAGAUUCAUAAUUUAAUUAAAAAUGAAAAUCUUGGUGAUUUUUGGUUUGU